GUUUUUCUUUAUACAAUCGCAGAUGUUCAUAGCUCACGUAUACACGUACAUACACUCACCUAUAUAAACAUACACACGCAUCCUAUAUCUAGAGGGCCUCCAAGAUAUUGAGUUAGCACAACAUUUGAGAUUGACGAAGUUAUCAGAGACGUUUCAUGGUAGAUGGAAACAUCUUCUUUCACUGAACGAACAUCGCCAUGUGACAUUUAUCGUAAGCAGUUCAAACUUAUUAAGGAAAGAGUUGAAUAAAAAUAGAAAAUUUUGAGCAUUGGUGACAAGUCUAACUGGUGGUCUGAUUCCACCACAAGUAACCUAACUAUUUUACCUAUGCUCAAAUCGCUACUUAAGUUAGCAUAAUAUAUUCUAUAGUGAAUAUGUACAAAUCAUCCAUUGUUGUAUCUUGUUGUGGCAUCUAACUGACUCACCUGUUCAUAGAAGGACACACAGAAUAAUAAUAAAAAGUGAAUUCCGGUUUUUACCUUCUAUUUUAACAUUUUUGACACUACUUACCCGAUUUAACGGGAUUUCAUCCGUUUUAACCCACUUAUCAAAAAUGUUCCCAAAAUUUACCUUGCAUAAAAUUUUGUGAGCGUUUUGACCGAUGGGUCUCAAUUGUAAAGUUCAACUGGCAUGUCACAUCAGUGGGGUUUUUCUCAUGGUUUUUCUGCACGUCGAACCACAUCGCCUGCCAUCUCCUGACCGGUCAGGCUCGAUAUGAUUCCAACAGAGCAGCUCCCCGGAUGGCCAAGUCGCCCAGGUCGGGCCACACCACACCAUCCUCCGUUGUUCACUACACGCAUCGCUCGCAUUCCAAUCACACGCAAGAUCCCGCCAUAGUUUGGCCAAAAAUUGAUGUCUCAUUUGCUAGGAGGGGAAGGACGAGGUAGGGGACGAGCGGCAGGCAAAACUUCAAGGCAUGGCUAUUGGCAAUCAUCGGAGCCAAUACGACAAUCUUCUCCCCUCCCAUGCAUGGCUCCAUCCUCUCCAGCUCAACCCAGGUGGUUAUGUUUUUAUGGCUAGAUUUUCUCUCUGUCCGAGAUGCAUAUUUGAUAGGUUUAGGCUCCUUGUUUCCGGUUCGAAGAAGUAUGGUGAUGAAAUGACCUUACUUCAUAAGUAUGGCAUGAUCCCAUUGAAUAAAUUGUAGGAGAAAUUGUUACUGAUAUAAUCAUGUAUGUUUUUCUACAACAUUGUCAUGUACGGCCCUAAGUAUGCAUGAUUAUGUGGAUGAGAUUAAAACUGGUGUGUAAAUAUACUACUUCGCUUACUUUGAUGUACGUACGUAUCUAAAUACCUAGUCAAGUAGCGAAUGUGUUGACCUGUAGUGAGUCGGUAUAUAUUUCCCAAGCUACUCUGUGCAAUCAUAUCGUGUCUGAACGAUCAGGAAAAUUUAUGGCGAUGUGGUUCGGUAUGUAGAAAAAACAUCACAAAAACCCCGUCGAUGUGGCAUAUGCCAGCUGGACCGUACAAUUGGGACCUAUCGGUNNNNNNNNNNAGGGUAAAACGGAUGGAACCCGCUUAAUGAGGUAAUUAGGGUCAAACAUAUCAAAACAGGGGUAAAAACCGGAAUUCACUCUAAUAAAAAAUUGGUCAAGUUGUGUUAACNNNNNNNNNNCAGAACAUUUAUAAAAUCUUAAACAGGGUAAAUUGUGACGACACAUUUGUUAAAUGGGAUAAAACGGAUGGAACCCGUUUAAUGAGGUAAUUAGGGUCAAACAUAUCAAAACAGGGAUAAAAACCGGAAUUCACUCUAAUAAAAAAUUGGUCAAGUUGUGUUAACUCGGCCUGUGAUAUAUGGCAACUUAUUGUGUAGUAUGUACGCAAGUAUGCAAGAUUGAAUGAAUCAUGAUACAAUCAACGUAUUUUGGCAUUCACUUGCUACAUCUUGUUUCUGUUCUUUUUUUCCUGUUUUUUAUCAUCUUGUGUUAACUCCGCCUAUGUUAUCUCAGCAUAGCCGGUCNNNNNNNNNNGUGUUCUUUUUUUCUUGUUUCUUAUCAUCUUGUGUUAACUCCGCCUAUGUUAUCUCAGCAUAGCCGGUCCCAAGACCGGGUAAAGGAGGAGGGUUGUGAUAGGCGUGGCGAGCCAACAUGAAAAACCCAGCCACUCUUAUGGAGAUGAAACCCAAAGGAAACUCGUUGGGGGCGUAACCCUCUUAGCGACGGGCCACAUCGGAACCCGGGUGUGGUGUCAAAUGGGCAAGGGCCGGGCCGUCACCCCCUUGGUGGCGCGCCGUAUCUUGAUCUGGAUACGGUGAUAAGUGAGCAAGGGUCGGGUCGCCGCAUCCUUAGUGGCGCGCUNNNNNNNNNNAGAGAUGAAACCCAAAGGAAACUCGUUGGGGCGUAACCCUCUUAGCGACGCGCCACAUUGGAACCCCGUUCUGGUGUCAAAUGGGCAAGGGCCGGGCCGUCACCCCCUUGGUGGCGUGCCGUAUCUUGAUCUGGAUAUGGUGAUAAGUGAGCAAGGGUCGGGUCGCCGCAUCCUUAGUGGCGCGCUGCACCGACGCCCCGGUGUAGUAAAAAAUGAGCAAGGGUCUUCGCAUUUGACUCGGCGAGUGCGGAGGGUAAGGAAGUUAGCCGAGCCUAGGAGGAUACGCUUAGGUAGCUGGAACGUAGGGUCCCUAACGGGUAAGUUACGGGAGCUAGUUGAUACGGCGGUGAGGAGGCGUGUUGAUGUCCUAUGUGUCCAAGAGACCAAAUGGAAGGGACAAAAGGCGAAGGAGGUGGAGGAUACCGGCUUCAAGUUGUGGUAUACGGGGACAACUUCAAACAAGAAUGGAGUAGGCAUCUUGGUCAACAAGAGCCUUAGGGAUGGAGUUGUGGACGUUAAGAGGCAAGGGGAUUGGAUGAUCCUUGUCAAGCUGGUAGUUGGGGACUUAGUCCUCAAUGUUAUCAGCGCGUAUGCCCCGCAAGUAGGCCACAAUGAGAGCACCAAGAGGGAGUUCUGGGAAGGCCUGGAGGACUUGAUUAGGAGGGUACCUAUUGGUGAGAAUCUCUUCAUAGGAGGAGACUUCAAUGGCCAUGUGGGUACAUCUAACACAGGGUUUGAAAGGGUGCAUGGGGGCUUUGGCUAUGGCAUCAGGAACAAAGAAGGAGAAGAUGUCCUGAGCUUCGCUCUAGCCUACGACAUGGUUGUAGCUAACACCCUCUUUAGGUAGAGAGAAUCCCAUCUAGUGACGUUCAGUAGUGGUCUACACUCUAGCCUGAUUGAUUUUGUCCUCUCUAGAAGAGAAGACAGACGCGCUUGCAUUGAUUGUAAAGCGAUACCUGGAGAGAGUGUUGUCCCUCAACAUAAGCUUGUGGUUGCUGACUUCCGCUUUAGGAUUCGUGUCCAACAGGAUAAGCAUGCCAAAGUUGCUAGAACGAAGUGGUGGAAGCUCAAGGGGGAGGCAUCCCAGGCUUUCAGGGAGAGGGUCAUUAAGGAGGGCCCUUGGGAGGAAGGAGGCGAUGCAAACUUGAUGUGGACGAGUAUGGCGACCUUCUUGCGGAAGGUUGUUGUAGAGGAGUUUGGGGUGACCAAGGGAAGUAGAAGGGAAGCUAAGGACACCUGGUGAUGGAACGAUGAGGUCCAGAAGGUUAUUAGGGAGAAGAAGGACUGUUUCAGAUGCCUAUAUCUGGACAGGAGUGCAGCUAACAUGGAGAAGUAUAAGGUGGCAAAGAAGGCUGCAAAGCGGGCGGUGAGUGAAGCGAGAGGUCAAGCGUAUGAGGACCUCUACCAACGUUUAAACACUAAGGAAGGUGAAAGGGACAUCUAUAAGAUGGCCAAGAUUAGGGAGAGGAAGACGAGGGAUGUCGGCGAAGUCAAAUGCAUCAAGGACGGAGAUGAUCAGCUUCUUGUGAAGGAUGAGACGAUCAAGCGUAGAUGGCGGGAGUACUUUGACAACCUUUACAAUGGAGAGGUUGACAGCUCUACCAUUGAGCUAGACGACUCCUUUGAUGAUACCAGCAUGUGCUUUGUGCGAUGUAUCCAGGAGUGUGAGGUUAAGUACGCGUUAAAAAGCAUGAAAGUAGGCAAGGCGAUGGGUCCUGAUGGUAUCCCCAUCGAGGUGUGGAGAGGCCUUGGAGACAUAGCGAUUGUAUGGCUAACUAAGCUUUUCAACCUCAUUUUUCGGUCAAACAAGAUGCCCGAAGAAUGGAGGCGGAGUAUUUUAGUACCAAUCUUUAAGAACAAUGAGGAUGUUCAAUGUUGUACUAAUUACCGCGGAAUCAAGCUGAUGAGCCAUACUACGAAGUUAUGGGAGAGAGUCAUUGAACACCGCUUAAGAAGGUUGACAAGCGUGACCAAAAACCAAUUUGGUUUCAUGCCUGGGAGGUCUACCAUGGAAGCCAUCUUCUUGGUAUGACAGCUGAUGGAGAGAUACAGGGAGCAAAAGAAGGACCUUCAUAUGGUGUUCAUUGAUUUGGAGAAGGCCUAUGAUAAGAUACCUCGGAAUGUCAUGUGGUGGGCCUUGGNNNNNNNNNNAUCGAUCAACUGGCUAGCCAACUAGAGGCAUGCUAGGGACGGUGUUUUGUCUAUGUAUCCACACAUGUAAAUGAGUCUUCAUUCAAUACAAUUAUAGCAUGGAUAAUAAACUAUUAUCUUGAUACAGGAAUUAUAAUAAUAACUAUACAUUUAUUAUUGCCUCUAGGGCAUAAUUCCAACAAUAUGGUGUUCAUUGAUUUGUAGAAGGCCUAUGAUAAGAUACCUCGGAAUGUCAUGUGGUGGGCCUUGGAGAAACACAAAGUCCCAAUAAAGUACAUUAUCCUCAUCAAGGAUAUGUAUGAUAAUGUUGUGACAAGUGUUCGAACAAGUGAUGGCGACACCGAUGACUUUCCGAUUAGAAUAGGGCUACACCAAGGGUCAGCUUUGAGCCCUUNNNNNNNNNNCCCUCAUCAAGGAUAUGUAUGAUGAUGUUGUGACAAGUGUUCGAACAAGUGAUGGCGACACUGAUUACUUUCCGAUUAGAAUAGGGCUACACCAAGGGUCAGCUUUGAGCCCUUAUCUUUCUGAUUUGGUGAUGGAUGAGGUCACAAGGGAUAUACAAGGAGAUAUCCCAUGGUGUAUGCUCUUUGCGGAUGAUGUGGUGCUAGUCGAUGAUAGCCGAAUGGGGGUUAAUAGAAAGUUAGAGUAUGGAGGCAGACUCUAGAAUCGAAAGGUUUUAGGCUUAGUAGAACUAAAACCGAAUACAUGAGGUGCAGUUUUAGUGCUACUAGGCACGAGGAUGGAGAGGUUAGCCUUGGUGGGCAGGUGGUACCGGAGAGAGACGUGUUUCAAUAUUUGGGGUCCAUGUUGCAGAAGGAUGGCGAUAUCGAUGAAGACGUGGACCACCGAAUCAAGGCUGGGUGGAUGAAGUGGCGCCAAGCUUCUAGCGUAGUCUGUGACAAGAGAGUGCCACAAAAACUAAAAGGCAGGUUUUAUAGGACAGCUAUCCGACCUGCGAUGUUGUAUGGCGCGGAGUGUUGGCCAACCAAGAGACGACAUAUCCAACAGUUAGGUGUAGCAGAGAUGCGCAUGUUGAGAUGGAUAUGUGGCCACACAAGGAAGGAUCGGGUACGGAAUGACGAUAUACGAGAGAGACUUGGGGUAGCACCGAUUGAAGAGAAGCUGGUCCAGCAUCGUCUCAGAUGGUUUGGACAUAUUNNNNNNNNNNNNNNNNNNNNNNNNNNNNNNNNNNNNNNNNNNNNNNNNNNNNNNNNNNNNNNNNNNNNNNNNNNNNNNNNNNNNNNNNNNNNNNNNNNNNUCUUGUUUUUUAUCAUUGUGGCGUUCGGAAGGAUGGUGACGCUUCUUUUUAGGCUCCGAUUCUCAUUAAGUUUUUGUCCGUAUGGAUAUAGUUGACAGAGCGCCGACGCAGAAUCAUGUUCUCUUCUUCUCGCGAUGAGGUUAGGGUUUCUCGUCAUAUGACGAUUUUGUGCAUGUUGCUUCAGAUCUAUGAAAUGGUUCAAUAGCGACUACUAUGGUACCAGGGUGUGGGUCCUUACGUGCAUGUGCGGGAAGAUAUCUCGGUUGUCAUCGUCAAUGCAUCGGCGACACGUUCUGUCAGUAAUAGUGGUUAUUUGGUGGUUUCGGAAUCUCAUUCUAAUUUUUAUUAUUUUUGAGAUGCUUUGUAUUUUCCAUGAACUUUUAUAAAAGAUCUGAUCAUUUUCUUAAAAAAUGAAUGAAAAAUAUUUUGCCCUGCAUGGUAGCAUGUGGUAUUGGGUCUUUUUUGAUACAUGGUUGCAUACUGAGGUAGAUCUUAUCCUGUCCAUUAUAUGGUGAUCUGGCAUAUGCUUGUAUAUUGAGAUAAAUAAGUUAGUGGUGAUCAAUUUCUUAGAUAUAUGUAGAAUGGGUUACAACUAUAGUAACACAUUUGGAUGGAUUUUUUAAGCUUAAGCUACAAUAAUGCACNNNNNNNNNNUGUGAUCACUGUCUUAGAUAUAUGUAGAAUGGGUUACAACUACAGUAACACAUUUGGAUGGAUUUUUUAAGCUUAAGCUACAACAAUGCACCAUCAAAAAGGAAAAUUGAUGAUGGUUAUAUAAAAUACUAAGGUGAUCCGCGAAUUAAACUCAAAAUAUAUUUAGAUGCUAACAAACAUGCAUAUGCGUGGUGCGAGUAAGUUCUACUUUGAACCCGCAGGCAAUAAUAAUUAGUGUGCUGCACUAAAUUCUACUUGAGAGGCUGGGCCAAGAAUCAAAGUGGCAUAUACAAAGUGGAAAAAGAGAGGCCGACGCAGCUCACUAAUGAGUUAGAUGUGAAACCAAAGUCUACACUUCUUAAUAUGUCCGAUAGAAAUAUUAAGAUUGAGGCUGUGAAGAAGGUGCAAACUCUUCUCAGAGAGAGGAGAUGAAAUGGGCCAUUUGAGCAAAGGUUGCGAAGGUGCACCCGAAGAGAAUUUUGUUUUUCUGGAUUAGAGCACAACAAGUGACAUUCCUCAACCCAGUUCAGAUGAGAACGAGGUUUUGCCAGCCCCAUUUAGGGAUGAAGAGAUGUUUGACACAAUAUCACAAAUGAAGCCAAAUAAGGCACCGGGACCAGAUGGGUUUCCGAUGGAAUUUUAUAAAAAGUGUUGGCAUAUUAUUAAAGAUGAUAUUUUGCAUAUGUUCCAUGAUUUGUUUAAUGGGCAUUUGCAGCUAUUCCACCUUAACUUUGGAAUAAUAAUGGUGUUUCUAAAGAAGGUGNNNNNNNNNNNNNNNNNNNNNNNNNNNNNNNNNNNNNNNNNNNNNNNNNNNNNNNNNNNNNNNNNNNNNNNNNNNNNNNNNNNNNNNNNNNNNNNNNNNNUCAGUUAAACUCAAAAUAUAUUUAGAUGCUAACAAACAUGCAUAUGUGUGGUGCGAGUAAGUUCUACUUUGAAUCCGCAGGCAAUAAUAAUUAGUGUAGUGCACGUAAAUUCUACUUGAAAGGCUGGGCCAAGAAUCAAAGUGGCAUAUACAAAGUGGAAAAAGAGAGGCCGACGCAGCUCACUAAUGAGUUAGAUGUGAAAGCAGAGUCUACACUUCUUAAUAUGUCUGAUAGAAAUAUUAAGAUUGAGGCUGAGAAGAAGGUGCAAACUCUUCUGAGAGAGAGGAGAUGAAAUGGGCCCUUCGAGCAAAGGUGGCGAAGGUGGACCAUGGAGAUGAUAAAACACAAUUCUUUCACAUGAUUGGGAAUGGCAAACAUAGGAAGAAGAAAAUAAUUCAACUUGAACACGAUGAGGAUAAAAUUGUAGGAAAUGAGAACCUAAAAUUGUACAUCUCCGAGUAUUAUAAGAAACUUUUUGGUGCAUCCGAAGAGAAUUUUGUUUUUCUGGAUGAGAGCACAACAAGUGACAUUCCUCAACCCAGUUCAGAUGAGAAUGAGGUUUUGUCAGCCCUAUCUUUAGCCGAUUUGGAUGGUAAACUAAUAAUUGGCUAGGUGUAUAGGCAUCGUAGAUUACUUAUGGUUUCGUCGAAUGUGACAUCAUUUAUUUUCUAUACUUUGUGUUUUGCUCAUAUUGUGAGCUAAUUGUUGCUGCAUUACUUUGCUCUUGAACUUAUUUAGUAAUAAUAUGGUUGCAUGCAUCGAUUGAUGCAGAGUUUGAAGGCUACGUGCCUCCAUUAAAAAAAGUAAAUUCUACUUUGAACAUGCGGACAAUGAUAGUUAUGAUAUGGUGACCCUUCGGACAAGAUUUUGGUAUUUGCGAAUGCUGAGGUGUAUUCCGUCCGGCACCUAGCAAGGCUGCAGGAACCACACCUUAUUUGUGAAGCAUAGGUUUUACCUAGGUCCGGAUCCUUGCAUGAUGACUAACAACACUAACCAUGUUUGUCUGGAAUUACAUUCUCAAGGAGUUACAGAGAUCAAGAACAUGAUGUGCUCGUCAGGUUCGUGGUGAACUCGACGAAUAGGGGGUGGACUCUAGAUCAUGUCCCAUCGGCUAGGCUAAUCUAGCAGUCUUAAGACUUCAGGUGCUUUCAAAUCAAAUGGAAGAUGUCUUUGCUUCCAUGGCCAUUCGCAUAUUUACCAAUAUCUUGGUGGUUAGGCUUUGCCGACUUCCUCAUGGUCUCAUUGUUCUUCUUCCCUAUGGAUUCUUGAUAGCCUUGAGGGCCUUCUGGUAAGAAAUUACCAGGGGUGGCGCAUCCAUGGAAGUCAGUACUCUGGACAAUCCCCCCCCCCCCCNNNNNNNNNNNNNNNNNNNNNNNNNNNNNNNNNNNNNNNNNNNNNNNNNNNNNNNNNNNNNNNNNNNNNNNNNNNNNNNNNNNNNNNNNNNNNNNNNNNNNNNNNNNNNNNNNNNNNNNNNNNNGAACAUUACGGUAAGUAUGGAAAUUCACUUCCCCUCGACACCAUUUUAUUUGGACUAUAUUUUAGAUUCACAAAUUGGCGUUCAACCAGGUUUAAUGGUUCANNNNNNNNNNNNNNNNNNNNNNNNNNNNNNNNNNNNNNNNNNNNNNNNNNNNNNNNNNNNNNNNNNNNNNNNNNNNNNNNNNNNNNNNNNNNNNNNNNNNGAGACAAGUCUGACUCCUCGUUGCUCUACUUCGGAGUCUGCCGCAAUCCUUGUUUUGAUCCUAAGUGGCACUAUAUAUGUCUGUCACCGGUUGUUCAAGACGGUGACUUUUCGGUGUGGAUCGAGUCCUGUCAUUGAUCUGCAUCUUUCUCUCACGCACUAAGGGUGGCUGGUGCGUCGACAAGAGACACUCUGCGGAAGUUAUUUGGUCUUCGGUGUUGUUCGGCGUCAGUCAAGACGCGGUGCUUUGUGUCGGUUCAGGAUAAGCUCUUUUNNNNNNNNNNAGUGUGGAUUGAGUCCUGUCAUUGAUCUGCAUCUUUCUCUCACGCGCUAAGGGUGGCUGGUGCGUCGACAAGAGACACUCUGGGGAAGUUAUUUGGUCUUCGGUGUUGUUCGACGUCAGUCAAGACGCGGUGCUUUGUGUCGGUUCAGGAUAAGCUCUUUUGCAUUGUAGCUCGGUGGACGGUGCGGUUUAUCUUUAGGUUUGUCCUUGUGAUGUUCGUGCUAUGCAUCAAGUGAUAGCUUUUUUCAUUGAAAUUAUGUCUUUACCAGAGUACAAAAGGUAUCNNNNNNNNNNNNNNNNNNNNNNNNNNNNNNNNNNNNNNNNNNNNNNNNNNNNNNNNNNNNNNNNNNNNNNNNNNNNNNNNNNNNNNNNNNNNNNNNNNNNAGUCCUAGUUUCAAUACUGCUUGAACGCCGUGGUGCAAGAUAGAGCCUAGAAGAUUUAGUUGAAAAAAAUAUUGAGUAAAACAAAAUAGUUACACAUUAUACAGAUAUUACUUUCGGCUAGUAUAUAUAUGUUGUUGCGUGUUAAAUUGUAUUUUAUCAACUUCAAAUAAAAUUUAAAAAUAUAUAUGUGUUUAUUAUCACACCCAAAUGCCACCUGCAUUUUUUUAAUGGGAAAGCUUAAGCGUGUUGACAUGUGCAAAAAAACAAGUCAAAAGACAAAUGAUACAGUUAAUUUAAUUUUUCACGCUGACAAAUAAAUUCAGAAUUCUCGUAAUUCAAUUUUAGGUUACUAUUCACCAAAGAGUAUAUCUAUACCUAGUGAUAAAGCAAGGUGUGUUUCUUUAAUUCUUUCAUAUGUUCAUCCAUAUUAUAUUUUCAGAUUUUUUCCUAUCCGACGUUAUAUUUUCAUAUCCAUAUUAUAUUUUCAUAUUGUUGUGCUGCAAGUUCGAAGUUCAUUUGUUGUGCUAUAUGGGAAAAACAAAAAAAAAAGUACUUGCACGAAUCGCGAUGUGGAAUUGGAUGGCUAGAUAGGGGGAUGCCUAGAAGCCUAAGCUCCACAAUAUAUUUUCGUGGUAAUUUGAUGGCACCAAUGCUCCAACGCAAAUUUUAUACAUCAAGGUUAGCUUCUACAAUCUAUGCUGUUAUAGUAGAUGUUUCAGAGAAGCAGUUCCCUAUAAAUUAUUGGUGGUUAAAUUUUUUUAGACAUCAAGAAGCAUUCAUAAUUUUGGCAGCAACAAUUAUAAGGUGCGCCAUACAAGCAUUACUAGUAUAAUAUCCAUGCAUUGCCACGGGCUAUGAAUAUAUUUUUAUCAGUUGCAAACAUAGUCACAAUACAUGUAAAAAUUUACAUGCAUAGAAAUUAUAGCAUGUAACGAUGAGAAGUAAUUAAAAUCCACUUCAGUAAUCCAAUUAAUUAUCUUUUACAAAUAAAGAUCUACUUGAUGUGUUUAACAUAGUUUUGUACAAUGUGAGGAAUGUUGUCUUCAACUUCAUUGCAUGGCACAAUGUGAGCCGCAUCCUUAUUUUGAUGAGUUUUAAAUUGUGUAUAUAUAUAUUUUCUAGAAAUGACUUGUUAUGCUAUGUGACAUUGAUGUCAACGUAUAGAAGCUCCUCCUUUUUACUUUUUNNNNNNNNNNNNNNNNNNNNNNNNNNNNNNNNNNNNNNNNNNNNNNNNNNNNNNNNNNNNNNNNNNNNNNNNNNNNNNNNNNNNNNNNNNNNNNNNNNNNNNNNNNNNNNNNNNNNNNNNNNNNNNNNNNNNNNNNNACAGCUGCCUUCUACUCUUCCCGCACAACCAACCAGACACCAAUUGUCACCGCAUCUCAUCUCCCCGCCAGAGAGUAUCCACCGCCAUCUCCCCCAGACACCUCCCCUCCAUGCCAUGGCGAAGCCCGCCCACUCCUCUCCCCAUCAUCUGCCCUCUCAUCCAUGGCUCCGCCGCCUCGACGCUGAGCUAGCCCACCGGUCUAGCAUCGUGGAUAGUUGGGUCCUCCCUGGAGGUGCAAAAGGGAUCGCAACCGUCUGUUAGUGCUAGCCAUGUAGCUGACCCAUUCGUAUGUGAGUUGCACAACCUCAUGUGGCACUGCGAGGAGGGAUACACCUUCAUCAUCGAGGUUGCUCACCCCAGGCCGAUUUCCGGUGCCAUGGAGUGCACGUUGUCAUGCUAGGGCAGCCGCCAAGGAGAUGCGACCUUCUAAUCAUUUUCCUUGCCCAAACCAUUCAAAUCCGAUGUAGCUGCCAGCAUGUCUAUCGUUCCUAUCGAUUAGCUUUAUGGAUUACAUGAGAAGACUUUUACGUGUGCGCGCGUCGCAACACGUGAUAGGCUUGCAAGCGCAAUCCUAAUCCCCCUAAUUUUAGUUGUGAAGCUGAAUAUCUAAUCUCAUUAAUCCAUCUCCCUUGAUUUUCAGAGCAUGGAUUUCUAUGCAUCUCUCCAAUCUCUUGUCCCAGAUUUUUAGGGAAAGUUUANNNNNNNNNNGGCUGAAUAUCUAAUCUCAUUAAUCCAUCUCCCUUGAUUUUCAGAGCGUGGAUGUCUAUGCAUCUCUCCAAUCUCUUGUCCCAGAUUUUUAGGGAAAGUUUAAUAGCAACCUGAUGAGAGACGACCUCUAGUUCAUGCACAUGCCAUUUCCUCAUACUAUCUGAAGGGAGUAUCAAAAUCAUAAUUGCGUAGCUUUUAGUUUUUUGCUAAAAGUUUAGGCGCAUCAUUUUUUUUGCGCCGGGCAUGAAGGAAAAACAUUUAUCUAGACAUUUGAAAGAUGCAGCAGUGAGACUCUCAUAACAACCAGUUCCGAUUGAACAUACAACCCUUGAACAGGGUGGAGCCCCGCCAUAGGUCCACUAUAUUGGUUACAAAUUUACAAUUCUCUAACAACUUUGUGCCAUUUUUGGACUAUUUGUUAAAACUAAGAUGAUAUUUAAGUUAAAUUAUAUUAACUGACACCCCACUACUAUGAUCGUAGGCUAGUCAUUUCCAUGGGACAUGCAAACUAGUUAUACUAAAAAAUGCAAACUAGUUAUACUAUAUUGGUUACAAAUUUACAAUUCUCUAACAACUUUGUGCCAUUUUUGGACUAUUUGUUAAAACUAAGAUGAUAUUUAAGUUAAAUUAUAUUAACUGACACCCCACUGCUAUGAUCGUAGGCUAGUCAUUUCCAUCGGACAUGCAAACUAUUUAUACUAAAAAAUGCAAACUAGUUAUACUAUAUUGGUUACAAGUUUACAAUUCUCUAACAACUUUGUGCCAUUUUUGGACUAUUUGUUAAANNNNNNNNNNNNNNNNNNNNNNNNNNNNNNNNNNNNNNNNNNNNNNNNNNNNNNNNNNNNNNNNNNNNNNNNNNNNNNNNNNNNNNNNNNNNNNNNNNNGGGACAUGCAAGUUGAUCGUCCUGUCAUGCAAUUAGUCUAUGAAGUCUACGCGGUGCUAGUAUUCUGAUAUACAUUGCGGGUCUGGUUAUUCUAUUUUCUUGUAGUGUAGUAUGACCAGUCAAGUGUUCACAUGUAUAUUUAAUUUUCCAUGUUGGCAGGGUUGCGUGUUAGAAAAAGGCAUAUCUAUAUAUGCACGUCAUUACGGCAGGGUUGCCUAGCUAGCUGUACGUGUGAUGGAUGAACUAGGAUAUACUAAUGUGGAUUCAUCCAGAACUUGCUAUCUCAAGCUGUCUGAAUUUCACAUAUUGUUGGUGUUUCACUAAUCACAUAAAGAUACUACUUGUAAAUUAGUACUUCCUCGGUUCCUGAAUAUAAGUUUUUUUUCUUCAAAUAUUCUACUAAGAACUACAUGCCAAUAAAAAUAAAUGAAUCUAUAAUUUAAAUUAUGUCUAUAUACAUCCGUAUAUAGUUCGUAGUAAAAUAUCUAGNNNNNNNNNNAAAUAUUCUACUAUGAACUACAUACCAAUAAAAAUAAAUGAAUCUACAAUUCAAAUUAUGUCUAUAUACAUCCGUAUAUAGUUCGUAGUAAAAUAUCUAGAAACACUUAUAUUUAGAAAUGGAGGGAGUAUAAUACAUUUAUUCUAGAUCACUAGUCUAUGUCUAUACUUAUUAAUAAAAGGAUAAAUGUCUCUACCCGUCCGUCGUACCUUUUGGAAACAAAUAAACCCAAUUGUUUCUUGAAAUCAACGCACGGUCCUGAUUUUAAGUGAAUCUUAAAUUUUUUUUGUAUUUUACUAAAAACUUCCUAACCUUUCGGUUAAACGACCUACUGUCCUGUUUUAAGUGAGUCCNNNNNNNNNNUCACGGUCCUGAUUUUAAGUGAAUCUUAAAAAUAUUUUGUAUUUUACUAAAAACAUCCUAACCUUUCGGUUAAACGACCUACUGUCCUGUUUUAAGUGAGUCCAGAAAAUCUUCUAUGUUUUCUAGAAACCCCUUGAUAUUUCGUUCCAUAAACCUAAAGUCAAUAGUCCGAUUAAAGAACUAUGUAGACAUGUCCCGAGGUACUCCUCGGUCAAUAUCCAAUAGCGGUACCUGGAUGCCCAUAUUGGAUCCUACAUAUUCUCCGAAGAUCUUAUCGGUUGAACCUCAGUGUCAAGGAUUCAUAUAAUCCCGUAUGUCAUUCUCUUUGUCCUUCGGUAUGUUACUUGCCCGAGAUUCGAUCGUCGGUAGCCGCAUACCUAUUUCAUUCUCGUUACCGGCAAGUCUCUUUACUCGUUCCGUAAUACAAGAUCCCGUGACUUACACUUAGUCACAUUACUUGCAAGGCUUGUGUGUGAUGUUGUAUUAUCAAGUGGGCCUCGAGAUACCUCUCCGUCACACGGAGUGACAAAUCCCAGUCUUGAUCCAUACUAACUCAACAGACACCUUCGGAGAUACCUGUAGAACACCUUAUAGUCACCCAGUUACGUUGUGACGUUUGAUGCGCACAAGGUAUUCCUUCGGUGCUAGUGAGUUAUAUGAUCUCAUGGUCAUAGAAACAAGUACUUGACACACAGAAAACAAUAGCAAUAAAAUGACACGAUCAAUAUGCUACGUAUAUAAUUUGGGUCUUGUCCAUCACAUGAUUCUCCUAAUGAUGUGAUCCCGUUAUCAAGUGACAACACUUGCCUAUGGUCAGGAAACCUUGACCAUCUUUGAUCAACGAACUAGUCAACUAGAGGCUCACUAGGAACAGUGUGUUGUCUAUGUAUCCUCACAUGUAUUUGAGUUUCCAAUCAAUACAAUUCUAUCAUGGAUAAUAAAAGAUUAUUAUGAACAAGGAAAUAUAAUAAACUAAUUUAUUAUUGUCUCUAGGGUAUAUUUCCAACAAUAUAUACCAACUCACUACGAGGUCAACAUAUUCGCUACUUGACUAGGUAUUUAGAUAUAUACGUACAUCAAAGUAAGUGAAGUAGUAUAUUUACACACCAGUUUUAAUCUGAUCCACAUAAUCAUGCAUACUUAGGGUCAUACAUGACAAUGCUGUAGAAAAACAUACAUGAUUACAUCAGUAACAAUUUCUCCUACAAUUUGUUCAAUGGGAUCAUGCCAUCCUUAUGAAGUAAGGUCAUUUCAUCACCAUACUUCUUUGAACCGGAAACAAGGAGCCUAAACCUAUCAAAUAUGCAUCUCGGACUGAGAGAAAAUCCAGCCAUAAAAACAUAACCACCUGGGUUGAGCAGGAGAGGAUGGAGCCAUGCAUGGGAGGGGAGAAGAUUGUCGUAUUAGCUCCGAUUUUGCCAAUAGCCAUGCCUUGAAGUUUUGCCUGCCGCUCGUCCCCUACCUCGUCCUUCCCCUCCUAACAAAUGAGGCCCUGACCGGUCAGGAGAAGGCAGACGAUGUGGUUCGACGUGCAGAAAAACCAUGAGAAAAGCCCCACUGAUGUGACAUGCCAGUUGGACUUUACAAUUGAGACCCAUCGGUCAAAACGCUCACAAAAUUUUAAGCAAGGUAAAUUAUGGCAACAUUUUUGCUAAAUGGAUUAAAACAGAUGAAAUCGCGUUAAAUCGGGUAACUAGUGUCAAAAAUAUUAAAAUAGAAGGUAAAAACCGGAAUUCACUCUUUUUAUUAUUAUGUGUGUCCUUCUAUGAACAUGUGAGUCAGUUAGAUGCCACAACAAGAUACAACAAUGGAUGAUUUGUACAUAUUCACUAUAGAAUACAUUAUGCUAACUUAAGUAGCGAAUUGAGCAUAGGUAAAAUAGUUAGCUUACUUGUGGUGGAAUCAGACCACCAGUUAGACUUGACACCAAUGCUCAAAAUUUUCUAUAUUUAUUCAACUCUCUCCUUAAUAAGUUUGAACUGCUUACCACAAAUGUCACAUGGCGAUGUUCGUUCAGUUAAAGAAGAUGUUUCCAUCUAUCAUUAAACGUCUCUGAUGACUUCGUCAAUCUCAAAUGUUGUGCUAACUCAAUAUCUCGGAGGCCCUAGUAGAUAUAGGAUGCGUGUGUAUGUUCAUAUAGGUGAGUGUAUGUAUAUGUACGUGAGCGCAUCUGCCAUUGUAUAUAUAAAAAAAAACUAUGCGUGCAUGCACUUAUGACAUCUACGAGUGUACGUCUUGCCUUGCGGGAUAAUCAGUAGUACGAUGCAUGCAUCCUUUAAUUUUUUAUGGAUCAGCUAGAACGUCAAGAUGUAAAAGGUGACAUUGAAGAAGAAGAAAAUCUUCAGCAAGAUUUUUAGUUUUAUCAAGGAUCAUCNNNNNNNNNNNNNNNNNNNNNNNNNNNNNNNNNNNNNNNNNNNNNNNNNNNNNNNNNNNNNNNNNNNNNNNNNNNNNNNNNNNNNNNNNNNNNNNNNNNNNNNNNNNNNNNNNNNNNNNNNNNNNNNNNNNNNNNNNNNNNNNNNNNNNNNNNNNNNNNNAGCUGGCAUAUCACUAGUCGACUUAACCCAACUUGAACAACCUUUCUAUUCCAGGUACGUGUACAAGUAUGUAUAUCCUUUUACAAUAUGCAAAUCAUGCAUUUAGAUACCAUAACGUGAUACAAUGACAUUGAUCAAUCAUAAGCUUAUAAAGCAUGCAUGCAUGAGCGAGGGAGCCCAUGCAAACGCCUGACAUAUGAACUGUAACAGUGCGCGCGUAUGACAUGCAAUAGCUACGAGUAAAUCGAUGGAUAGAUGGAUCACAUGGGGCAGGUGAAGUUGGCGGGGCACUUCUUGCCGCACUGGUUGAGUNNNNNNNNNNGGUUCGAUUUGAAAUUGUCCAUUAAGAUGAAACCAAUAUAGGAUUUAAUCUUCCCAGCCACACGAUGCGGAUGAUGCAAAUUCUCACCAUUUCUUAUAUUAUUUCUUUUAUCCGAGAUGUGCCAUAUAGCCACAGUAAAGUACAAUGCGUGAAGAUCUGGUGCAACAUUUAUCCAUUCUAGCAAUCAUUGAUGAAUAUUGAUAAACCUUUUUAGAUUUAGCACGAUAUGAAAAGACCUUUCAUAGUUUGCCCAAAAAUUCUUUGACAUAAUGGGAAAAGAAGAAACAAUGUUCCACAGUCUCAACUCUAUUACAGAUAAAACACUCAUACCUCGUAGGAAAUGUUCCACAGUUUCAUCAAUGUUCCUCACCAGUAGGUAAAAAAUUACGAACCAUUCUCCAUAAGAUGAUCUUCAUUCUAUUUGGACUUUGUAUUUCGAGUUUUUGCUCUAUAUUUUUCCUGUUUCCUCCAUGUUCGAGGCUGAUCCUCUUCCAUCAGAGCUCUAGUACAUCCAGAACGAUAAGGAUUUUGCAAGGUUAUACCGAGACAAUAUAGUGUAGGUGCCUCCAUUCGUGUAUGGCCAUGAUGCGAAAUCUCAGCACCCUUAUGAACUUAGAGGGAUCUUUAGGAUCUUUACAACCAGGUUUUUUGGAAACAUUUCACUAACAACCACACUGUUUCAUGAUUUACCAUCAGUUAAAAACAAAUGGUUCGCAGUCUUAUCCUCCUCCACCGGGAAAUUUGUACAAAGUAUGCCACGAAAUGAGUGUGGGAUCCAAUUAUCUUAAAUCAAAGAUAUUUGCUUUCCGUCUCCUAAUUGCAAGAAUAAGCCGUUUUGAAGGAGUUUCUUACCAAAUAAUAUGCUGCGCCAUGUGUGGGAAGCUGAUCUUGGGCAUCCUGAUCUCCAAAAAUCUCCAUGCGGGAAAUACCUUCCUUCUAAUACCUUGAAGCAUAAUGAAUUGGGGUUCACUAAGAGCCUACAGCACUGCUUUGCAAGCAUGGCUUGAUUAAAAAUCACCAAGUCCCUGAAUCCCAUUCCUCCAAGAUACUUGGGCGAGGAUAGCCAAUUAGAGGACCUCCAAUGAAUUUUUUCCUCCCAUCUUCCAUUCCCCACCAUACUGGAGAUAGGUCUAUUCAUGUUCUCACAUAUUGAUAUUGGAAUUUGGAAGCAGCACAUUACAUAUGUCCGGAUGGCUUGAGCCACCGACUUUAGAAGUACUUCUCUACCUUCUCUGGAUAACAGUCUUAUCAUUCCACCCAUUUAAUAUCCUCCAUAGCCUCCGAGUGAGGAAAUUAAAAUUGCUUGUUGUAGAGCAUCCCACCCAAGAAGGCAUGCCAAGGUAAGUGGCUUGUAGAGACUCAUCUCGGACUCCUACCAUGUUCUUUACUCGUUCCUUCACCCGAUUGUCACAAUGAUGUCCAAAGAAGAUAUAUGACUUGUGCAAGUUGAUUUUCUGACUAGAGCCUUUGUAGUACGUCUCAAGAGCGAUUUUAAGUAUGUUUGUGCUUCUAUUGUCGCCCUUCACAAAAAAUAUGCUAUCAUCAUCAAAUAAGAGGUGGUAAAUAGGAUNNNNNNNNNNUUGAUGUCCAAAGAAGAUAUAUGACUUGUGCAAGUUGAUUUUCUGACCAGAGCCUUUGUAGUAGGUCUCAAGAGCAAUUUUAAGUAUGUUUGUGCUUCUAUUGUCUCCCGUCACAAAAAAUAUGCUAUCAUCAUCAAAUAAGAGGUGGUAAAUAGGAUGGCCUGCUUUUCUGUUCUUGAUUUCUCUAAUGUCCCUUAUUGCUUCUUUUAACUGUAGAAGACAAGAUAAACCUUCAGGACAUAAUAAAAAUAAGUAUGGGCUGAUGGGAUCACCCUGACAUAUGCCUCUAGUAGGUAUGAAAGGGCCAGUUAAGUUCCCAUUUACUUUGACUGCAUAUUGUAUAGAGGUCACACACCUCAUCACCGAUUCUAACUAGUUUCAAAUAAAGCCAAAUUUAACAAGAACCCCUUUCAAAUAAGGCCAUUCAACUCUAUCAUACACUAGUAGAAAAGAGGGCUUUGGUCCACUUGAUAAAAUCCCAUUAGUCUUGGGCCGACCCAUGUGGGAGGCGGGACACCAAUGUUUUUUUUUUAUAUAUUUCCUUUUUUCUUUUCUGUAUUUGUAUUUUCUAUUUUAAAAUAAUUCAGGAUUACAAAAUGUUUCCAUUUUCAGGAAAUAGAGAAAUAAAAAUAUUUUGAGAAAUCAUAAAUAUUCGUGAAUUCGUGAAAUGUGCAUGUUUUUGAAAAACAUUUGGGAAGUCAUAAAAUUUUCAAAUUUAAAAGAAUUCAUGAUUUUCAAACAAAUCUUUGCAUAUUCAAAGAUCUUUCAUGNNNNNNNNNNGAAAUCCCAUUAGUCUUGGGCCGACCCAUGUGGGAGGCGGGACACCACUGUUUUUUUUAUAUAUUUUUCCUUUUUUUCUUUUCUGUAUUUGUAUUUUCUAUUUUAAAAUAAUUCAAGAUUAUAAAUUUUUUCCAUUUUCAGGAAAUAGAGAAAUAAAAAUAUAUUUGAGAAAUCAUAAAUAUUCGUGAAUUCAUGAAAUGUGCAUGUUUUUUAAAAACAUUUGGGAAGUCAUAAAAUUUUCAAAUUUAAAAUAAUUCAUGAUUUUCAAACAAAUCUUUGCAUAUUCAAAGAUCUUUCAUGAUUUUGAAAAAAAGUCCGGGAAAGAAAUAAAGUGUGUGGGUUCAAAAACAAUUAUUAAAGAUGGAAGAAGUUCAUGAAUUAAAACAAUAUUCACGAUUCUGUAAAAAAUGUCCAUAAAAAAUGUAUUUCAGUUUAAAUUGUCCCUGAAUUUCGAAGUUCAUCNNNNNNNNNNAAAAAGUGUGUGGGUUCAAAAACAAUUCUUAAAGAUGGAAGAAGUUCAUGAAUUAAAACAAUAUUCAUGAUUCUGUAAAAAAUGUCCGUAAAAAAUGUAUUUCAGUUUAAAUUGUCCCUGAAUUUCGAAGUUCAUCAAUUGAAAAGAGGUUUGCUGAAUGAAAGUAUGUUCAUGGUUUUCAAAAACAAAUUUAUUAAAAAAAUUGUGAUCUUCAAAAAGUUUUUCCAAAAUAUAAAAAUAUUUAUCAAUUCAAAACAAUUGGUUUAACUUUAAAAAAAUGUUCAUGAUUUCAAAUAAUGUCCGAGAAUAUGCAAAAAAUACGAAUAUAAAAAAUGUACACGUUUCAAAACAUGUCCAUAAAUUGAAAAAAUGUUUAUGAUUUCCAAAUGUGUUCACAAUUUUGAUAUUUUUUCAAUAUUUGUUUUUUUUGAAAAAGACAGGAAAAUUGAAAUUGGAAAUAAUGAAAAAUAUAAUAAAANNNNNNNNNNUCACGUUUCAAAACAUGUCCAUAAAUUGAAAAAAUAUUCAUGAUUUCGAAAUGUGUUCACAAUUUUGAUUUUUUUUUCAAUAUUUGUUUUUUUAAAAAGACAGGAAAAUUGAAAUUGGAAAUAAUGAAAAAUAUAAUAAAAGGCAAACAAGAAAAAAAAUGAGAAAUGAAAAAUUAAAAUGAAAAUGACAUAAUAAAAGAAAAUCAAAAAUAGAAAAGAAAGUGGAAAAGGAGAAAUACGAAAAUGAGAAAGAUAUAGAAAAAUAAAAAGAAGCAACAAAGAAGAAGAAAAUAAAAACUGACUCAACGAAGGUUCUAGAACUUCCGCCAACUGAAAAGAAAAAAAACUAGACUAGGAUGGUCCAAACGCGGGACAAUCUCGGGAGGGGGCUAUGCACCAGCUUGCUAUAGAGCGACCUACAUGCCAAAUNNNNNNNNNNUACUUCCGCCAACUGAAAGGAAAAAAAAUAGACUAGGAUGGUCCAAACGCGGGACAAUCUCAGGAGGGGGCUAUGCACCAGCUUGCUAUAGAGCGACCUACAUGCCAAAUUGGAACAAGAAAGCAAGACAUAGUCAUGCCACAUACGCUUGGUUGUCUCAUGGCAAUCGACAGGUAGCCCCUUGACUAUGUGCCAAGCCACACAUGUAGGUUGUAUCACUAAAGGCUUAAUUAUUCAGCCCGGCGUCAUCGCGCACUUGAGUAUUUCUUUCCUGUGUGGUCUAGAUGGGCUUGAUUUGUGGUCGUGGAUGACACCGUGAAGACCUCUUAUGGCAAGGCCAAGUGCACCGUACUCAUCCAGGCCUCGUAUGAAUAACCUCUUUUUCCUCUUAAUUCUCUUGUUUUAAUACUUCUCCUAGUUUCUAAUUUCUUCUUGUUUCGAAAUUUCAGACAAGCAUGGCAGGUUUGGGCUUGAUCUGAAGAUUUUCUUCCUCGGACCGUAACAGAAUUUGGUUUGUUCAAGAAGCUCAAGUAAGUCUUCUUUUUACCAGCAAAAGAAAGAAGCUCAUGUAAGUAUUUUUCUUAAGAUCUUUUAACCCAAGAAAGGAUAUGUGUCCUUGUUGCUCAAUCGUUUUUCCGAUCUCCGACUAAGACAUCCUGAUAAGAACGGCGCCCAAAUAUUUCACAUGAACAUGGUUCCUAUAUACAAGCUAUACAUUAUGUUUCAAAAGUAUGACAUAUAUAAAUAUGCCAAGUUCUGUUGCUUUCAUGCUUAGCACNNNNNNNNNNGAUCCUGACAAGAACGGGGCCCAAAUGUUUCACAUGACCAUGGUUCCUAUAUACAAGCUAUACAUUAUGUUUCAAAAAUAUGACAUAUAUAAAUAUGCCAAGUUCUGUUGCUUUCAUGCUUAGCACCUUUGGUUAACACCCCCAGGAUAGCAGGUAUACAUUUUUAACCAGGGUAGUUAUAAUUAAUCUUUUUUGCUUCCGAGCACCCAUUGUAUAUAGAGAGAUUUACACUAGGAUGUCAAUACCAUCUGUAUAUUUUGUUGUUGUUGACACUGCCUUAUCAAACUAAAUAAACAAAAANNNNNNNNNNNNNNNNNNNNNNNNNNNNNNNNNNNNNNNNNNNNNNNNNNNNNNNNNNNNNNNNNNNNNNNNNNNNNNNNNNNNNNNNNNNNNNNNNNNNUCCGACGGCCACCUUCAUGGAUAUGUUCUUGAAUUUCUGAUGAAGUUCACAUGAUGUUGAAUCCUUGAUUCCAUCCACGGGGUAGCCGGGACCGCCCUCUAUCAUUCUUCGUUCAUCGGCGGGCGGGGCCUCAGAUUCAGCCACGCUGCUUUUCCGCUUAGAUGGGGCACCGGUAAUAUCAAGUGCAGGAUCUUCCUGGCGCGGUACUCCUCUAAGCUCAUCAAUCUUCUUCUGUUGCUCGUUAAUCCUGGCAAGCAACUGGUUGAACUUGUCAUUCUCCUCAUCCUGCUUCCGCUUCUGUGCUCUCUCUCGGCUUCUGUAAGUGUCUUGGUCUCUGGCAAACCCAAGCCACCACGGGUAAGAUGGACCGAAGCCUCGCAUUCGUCCUCCAUGUUCGUCAUUGCCGAGGACCAGUGUGAGCAAAUCUUUAUCUCUAUCUGCAGUGAACUUUCUUUGUCCCUCCUUAAUUUCUUUCACUAUCCUUUUCCAAUUCUCCCUGGGUAUCCUAAGAUUGUCAUUGCAGAUGAGGUCCCCUGUUUUUUCGUCGCACGACCCACCAUGCGCAAGGAACCAAUUUCUUGCUCUCCAUUCCCACUCAUCACGGAGUGGUUCAGGUACGAUGCCUUUAUCUAUCAGAUCUUGCUCUUUCUUUUCCCACUUUGGGAUCGCAGUCUCAUAGCCCCCUGGCCCCAGCUUGUGGUUAUAUAUCUUCUUGUCGGCAUUUAUCUUGUUCUUUUCUGAUAAUGCCUGGGCAUNNNNNNNNNNCCCUGGCCCCAGCUUGUGGUGAUAUUUCUUCUUGUCGGCAUUUAUCUUGUUCUUUUCUGAUAAUGCCUGGGCAUCUUCUCACUCCUUGUACUCUUGAAAUUCCUUCCAGUGAUUCGCAUGCUUGGCUAGAUACCCCUCGAAUACUGGCACUUUCUUUGUCGUCAGAUAGUUUUUCCAUAGCUUCUUCUUCCAGCUACGGAAUAGUUCGGCCAUCUUCUUUAGAGUCGACUGCUUGACUUUGGCCCUCAGUUUGUCUGCGGCGUCUUCAUUCUCACAUUCUGGCAGGUUGAAAUGUGACAUGAUAUCAUUCCAAAGACUAUCUUUGUACCUUUCGACGACAUAGUCACUAUCGGCUGCCCCUUUGCGCUUGUUCCACUCCCGAACGCUGAUCGGGACGUGAUACCUAACGAGAACUCCGCAUUGCUUCUUGAAUGUGUCAGCAUCAUUCUUAGGAAGCUUGGGUUCACCCGUAGGCAUUAUCAGCUCAAAGGUGUAAUGCGUCNNNNNNNNNNNNNNNNNNNNNNNNNNNNNNNNNNNNNNNNNNNNNNNNNNNNNNNNNNNNNNNNNNNNNNNNNNNNNNNNNNNNNNNNNNNNNNNNNNNNNNNNNNNNNNNNNNNNNNNNNNNNNNNNNNNNNNNNNNNNNNNNUGGAGGCCUAAGAGGGAGAAACAUUCGUCAAAUGAAUGUAUAUGUAUAGAAUAUAGAGCUAUCUCCAAUAUUUUUCACAUAUUACAAGUGAUUGUCGAACUUCAUAUGUAUACCUCGCCGGACUUUAUUAUUUCUUCACCGGCUUAUCCACCGGCUUCUUCAUCAGUGGAGCUAUCACCUUCUCCAUCAUUGGACCUAUCUCCUUUUUCUUCUUUUCUUCUCCUUUUUCUUCUUUUCUUCUCCUUUUUCUUCUUUUCUUCUCUUUUUCCUUCCUUUCUUCUCCUUUUUCUUCUUUUCUUCUCUUUUUCCUUCCUUUCUUCUCCUUUUUCUUCUUUUCUUCUCUUUUUUCUUCUUUGCUUGUGCUGGCCGGAGUGUUGGGGAGGAGGGGGCAUGGGGCUUACCGGCCGGAGGUGUCGACGGCGCGCGGCGAGGAGGACGGCGGCGCGCGGCGAGGAGGACGGGGCGACUCGCGGCGAGCAGGACGGCGGCGGCGAGUANNNNNNNNNNGCCCCAUCGGCUUCAUCUUCGUGUCGCUCGACCUCCAUUCCAUAUCCAUAGUCGUUUAGAUAUGACGUCGGAGAUUCAGCUGGUUCAACGUCGGGGCCGUCUUUGAUUAUAUCUUCGAGAAGUUCUUCCUCUUCGAGGUUCCUGAUAUGUGGAUCCAUAGUUCUGCAAAAAACGGACAUUUGAUUAACUAAUAAACUAACAAACUAUAUAAGAGGGGUUGGAAACUUCGAAGGCUCGUUUUAUAUAGGAGGACCUUUAGUCCCGGGUCUUGGCUAGAACCUAAACUCUAAAAUACCAGCCGGGCGGAGCCCAGUCCCGGACACUUAAGCAUAUACAAUAGCAAAAUUAAACUAGUUCUAUUAAUUUUCUUGCUAAAAAUAAACUAUUAACACUUAAGCAUAUACAAUAGAAAAAUUAAACUAUUAACAAUUAAGCAUAUACAAUAGCAAAAUUAAGCAAUAAUCUAAGAAACACUAUUAACACUUAAGCAUAUACACUAUACAAUAGCAAAAUUAAAUGACAAAAAAAAUAGUUCUUCUUCUUGUAACCCUAAACUAAUUUUUCCUCUUCUUCUAUUUGUCCUCUUCUUCUACUUCUUCUUCUACUUCUACUUCUCCUCUUCUUCUACUACUUCUCCUCUCCUCUUCUUCUAUUUUUCCUCUUCUUCUCCUCUCCUCCUCUUCUUAUUCUCCUUUUUCUUCUUUUCUUCUCCUCCUCUUCUUAUUCUCCUUUUUCUUCCUUUCUUCUCCUUUUUCUUCCUUUCUUCUAUUUUUCUUCCUUUCUUCUCCUUUUUCUUCCUUUCUUCUCCUUUUUCUUCUUUUCUUCUCCUUUUCCUUCCUUUCUUCUCCUUUUUCUUCUUUUCUUCUCUUUUUUAUUCCUUUCUUCUCCUUUUUCUUCCUUUCUUCUCCUUUUUCUUCUUUGCUUGUGCUGGCCGGAGUGUUGGGGAGGAGGGGGUGUGGGGCUUACCGGCCGGAGGUGUCGACGGCGUGCGGCGAGGAGGACGGCGGCGAGCGGCGAGGAGGACGGCGGCGCGCGGCGAGGAGGGCGGCGCGCGGCGAGCAGGACGANNNNNNNNNNNNNNNNNNNNNNNNNNNNNNNNNNNNNNNNNNNNNNNNNNNNNNNNNNNNNNNNNNNNNNNNNNNNNNNNNNNNNNNNNNNNNNNNNNNNCCCGAGUGCGACUUUUAGUGCACACUCGGAGAAAGUUAAUACUUAGGCGAUUCUNNNNNNNNNNGAGUGUAUCUGUAGGAUACACUCGAAGGCAAUUGAGUACUUAGGCGAUUCGUGAUCGCGGCUAAGUCUUCGAGUGCGACUGUAAGGUCGUGCUCAGAGCGAGUUUUUACUCAUGUAAUUGUUAGUGGUGUUGACAUCUACAUGAGCCUCAAUGAGGUUCUGCUACUCAUGUAAUUGUCAGUUGUCUUGACAUCUACAUGAGCCUCACUGAGGGUCUGUUGAGUCCCCAAGUUUAUCUGUAGGAUACACUCAAAGGCAAUUGAGUACUUAGGCGAUUCUGAUCGCGGCUAAGUCUUUGACUGCGACUGUAAGGUCGUGCUCGGAGCGAGUUGUUACUCAUGUAAUUGUCAGUGGUCUUGACAUCUACAUGAGCCUCAAUGAGGUUCUGCUACUCAUGGAAUUGUCAGUUGUCUUGACAUCUACAUGAGCCUCACUGAGGGUCUGUUGAGUCCCCNNNNNNNNNNNNNNNNNNNNNNNNNNNNNNNNNNNNNNNNNNNNNNNNNNNNNNNNNNNNNNNNNNNNNNNNNNNNNNNNNNNNNNNNNNNNNNNNNNNNAGUCUACACUUCUUAAUAUGUCCGAUAGAAAUAUUAAGAUUGAGGCUGAGAAGAAGGUGCAAACUCUUCUCACAGAGAGGAGAUGAAAUGGGCCCUUUGAGCAAAGGUGGCGAAGGUGGACCAUGGAGAUGAUAAAACACAAUUCUUUCACAUGAUUGGGAAUGGCAAACAUAGGAAGAAGAAAAUAAUUCUACUUGAACACGAUGAUGAUACAAUUGUAGGAAAUGAGAACCUAAAAUUGUACAUCUUCGAGUAUUAUAAGAAACUUUUUGGUGCACCCGAAGAGAAUUUUGUUUUUCUGGAUUAGAGCACAACAAGUGACAUUCCUCAACCCAGUUCAGAUGAGAACGAGAUUUUGUCAGCCCCAUUUACGGAUGAAGAGAUGUUUGACGCAAUAUCACAAAUGAAGCAAAAUAAGGCACCGGGACCAGAUGGGUUUCUGAUGGAAUUUUAUAAAAAGUGUUGGCAUAUUAUUAAAGAUGAUAUUUGCAUAUGUUCCAUGAUUUGUUUAAUGGGUAUUUACAUCUAUUCCACCUUAACUUUGGAAUAAUAAUGGUGUUUCUAAAGAAGGUGGAGGCUAUUCGCAUUGAGAAGAUCAGGCUGACUGCUCAAUGCCAGCUUCAAAAAAUUUACAAAGGUUGGCACGAAUAGGUUGACAAAGAUAGCCCAUUCCGUAGUCCAAUCGACCGAGACAACUUUCAUGCAUGGAAGACAUAUCCUAGAAGGGUUCAUUGUUUUGCAUGAAAAGUUGCAUGAAAUACAUAAAAAGAAACUUGAUGGGCUUAUCUUUAAAGUGGAUCUCAAGAAGGCGUACGAUAAGGUCAAAUGGCCAUUUCUUCAACAAGCCUUGUGUAUGAAGGGAUUCAACGAAUCCUAGAGGGAUCAUGUGGGUGCUUUCAUUUAGAAAGGUAGAGUUGGGAUUAAAAUUAAUGAUGACAUAGCUCAUUAUUUUUAGACUCAUAAGGGAUUGAGGCACGGAGAUUUCAUGUCUCCCUUGUUGUUCAACAUAGUAGCAGAUAUGUUGGCACUCCUUAUUGAUCGGGCUAAAGAGAAUGGCCAAGUAGGAGGACUUCCUUGGGGAACGUCGCAUGGGAAACAAAAAAUUUCCUACGCGCACUAAUACGUCCAUUUUGCAUCAUUCUUUCAUGUUGAUAUUUAUUGUUUUUUCGGAUUUUAUAUUACUUCUGGUAGCAUAUUUAUGCCUCUUCUCUCUUAUUUUGCAAGGCUUAUUUGAAGAGGGAGAAUUCAGGCAGCUGGAAUUCAGGACUGGAAAAGGAGCAAAUCCUAGUCCACUAUUCUGCACAUCUCCAAAUACCCUGAAAAUUUACGUGGAUUUUUUCUGGAAUAUAUUAAAAAUACUGGGCGAAAGAACUACCGGAGGGGUCCACCAGGGCCCCACAAGCCCCCACUCCGCCACCAACCCCCCUGGUGGCGGUGGGCAAGCUUGUGUGCUGCCUGAAGGCCCACUAGCCCCCCUCUUUUGCUAUGUGAAGCGUCCUGACCUGGGAAAAAUCAUACGGGAGCUUUUUCGUGGUUUCGCCGUCGCCACGAGGCGGAACUUGAGCACAUCCAAUCUAGAGCUCCGGUAGGACGAUCCCGCCAGGGAAAUUUCCCUCCCGGAGGGGGGGAAUCGUCGCCAUCGUCAUCACCAACACUCCUCUCGUCGGAGGGGAGUCAUCUUCAUCAACAUGUUCAUCAGCACCAUCUCCUCUCCAAUCCCUAGUUCAUCUCUUGUAAUCAAUCUUCGUCUCGCGACUCCGAUUGGUACUUUUAAGGUUGCUAGUAGUGUUGAUUACUCUUUGUAGUUGAUGCUUGUUGGAUUACUUGGUGGAAGAGUUGAUGUUCAUAUCCUUGAUGCUAUUCAUUACACCUCUGGUCAUGAUUAUGAUUAUGUCUUGUGAGUAGAUACUUUUGUUCGUGAGGACAUGGGAUAAGUCAUGCUGAUAAUAGUCAUGUGAAUUUGAUAUUCGUUCGGUAUUAUGAUAUGAUGUAUGUUGUUUUCCCUCUAGUGGUGUUAUGUGAACGUCGACUACAUAACACUUCACCAUGUUUGGGCCUAGAGGAAGGCAUUGGGAAGUAGUAAGUAGAUGAUGGGUUGCUGGAGUGACACAAGCUUAAACCCCAGUUUAUGCGUUGCUUCGUGAGGGGCUGAUUUGGAUCCACUAGUUUAAUGCUAUGGUUAGACUUUGUCUUAAUUCUUCUUUUGUAGUUGCGGAUGCUUGCGAGAGAGGUUAAUCAUAAGUGGAUGCUUUUCCAAGUAAGGGCAGUACCCAAGCGCCGGUCCACCCACAUAUCAAACUAUCAAAGUAACGAACGUGAAUCAUAUGAACAUGAUGAAACUAGCAUGACAGAAAUUCCCGUGUGUCCUCGGGAGCGUUUUUCCUCCUAUAAGACUUUGUUCAGGCUUGUCCCUUGCUACAAAAGGGAUUGGGACACUUGCUGCACUGUUUCUACUACUUGUUACUUGUUACUCUUUGCUUGCUACGUUUCACCUCGCUACACAAUCACCUAUUACCGCUACUUUCAGUGCUUGCAGUUAUUACCUUGCUGAAAUCCGUUUAUCACAGCCUUCUGCUCCUCGUUGGGUUCGACACUCAUACUUAUCGAAAGGACUAUGAUUGAUCCCCUAUACUUGUGGGUCAUCAAGACUCUUUUCUGGCGCCGUUGCCGGGGAGUGAAGCGCCUUUGGUAACUGGAAAUUGGUAAGGAAACAUUUAUAUACUAUGCUGAAAUUUAUUGUCACUUGUCACUAUGGAAACUCUUCCUUUGAGGAGUUUGUUCGGGGUAUAUUCACCACGAACGGAAGCACGAGGAGUUGCUCCUCAACCUGAGGUACCUACUGAAAAUAUCUUUUAUGAAAUUGCUUUGGGUAUGCUUGAGAAACUGCUGGCUAAUCCUUUCACAGGAGAUGGAUCUUCACAUCCAGACUUUCAUCUAAUCUAUGUAGAUGAAGUUUGUGGUUUAUUUAAGCUUGCAGGUUUGCCCGAGGAUGAGGUAAAUAAGAAAGUCUUUCCUUUAUCUUUGAAGGAUAAGGAGUUGACAUGGUAUAGGCUAUGUGAUGAUGAUGGAUCAUGGGGCUACAAUCGGUUGAAAUUGGAAUUUCAUCAAAAGUUCUAUCCUAUGCAUUUAGUACAUCGUGAUCGGAACUUUAUUUAUAACUUUUGGCCUCGUGACAGGGAAAGCAUAGCUCAAGCUUGGGGAGGCUUAAAUCAAUGAUAUAUUCAUGCCCCAAUCAUGAGCUCUCGAGAGAAAUCAUCACUCAAAACUUUUAUGCUCGGCUUUCUCAUGAAGAUCGUACCAUGCUUGACACUUCUUGUGCCGAUUCUUUUAUGAAGAAGGAUAUUGAUCACAAGUGGAAUUUAUUGGAGAGAAUCAAACGCAACUCCGAAGAUUGGGAGUUGGAGGAAGGUAAGGACUCAGGUAUGAAUUUCCAGUUUGAUUGCGUUAAAUCUUUUGUUGAGACAAACACUUCUAGAGAUUUUAGCGCUAAGUAUGGACUUGACUCUGAGAUAGUAGCAUCUCUUUGUGAAUCUUUUGCUGCUCAUGUUGAACUUCCCAAAGAGAAGUGGCAUCCUCCUGUAGAAAGCAACAUAGCCUAAACCAAUCUAGUUGAGGAGAAAAUCAUAGCUUUUAGUGAUCCUGUUGUUCCUUGUGCUUACACUAAGAAACCACCAUCCCCUGCUAGAAUGAAGGAUUAUUCUAAAGCUCCAACUGUGAUAUGUAGGGGUUACAUUAGACCACUUGCACCCCCUGAGGAGAUUAGAGUUGAACCUAGUGUUGCUAUUAUCAAAGAUCUCUUAGCCGAAGACAUAGAUGGGCAUGUUAUUAAAUUCUGUGAGGACUCUGCUAGAAUUGCUAAACCUCACGCGAAAGACAAGCAUGGACCUGUAGUUGGCCUUCUCGUUGUUUCUGUUAAGAUAGGAGAUCACUGCUACCAUGGUUUAUGUGAUAUGGGAGCUAGUGUUAUUGCAAUACCCCGUUAUCUCUAUGAUGAAAUCAAAGAUGAGAUUGCACCUGCUGAGAUAGAAUCCAUUGAUGUCACUAUCACGCUAGCUAAUAGAGACACUAUCUGCCCUUUGGGAAUUGUGAGAGACGUAGAAGUCCUGUGUGGUAAGACGAAGUAUCCUACUGAUUUCCUCCUCCUCGGUACUGCACAAGAUAGCUUUUGUCCCAUCAUAUUUGGUAGACCCUUUCUCAACACUGUCAAUGCUCACAUUGAUUGCAUUAAGCAGACUGUCACAGUAAGUUUUGAGGGUGUGUCUCAUGAAUUUAACUUCUCCAAGUUUGGAAGACAACCCCAUGAAAGAGAGUCGUCUGGUAGAGAUGAAAUCAUUUCUCUUGCCUCUAUUGCCGUACCUCCUACGGAUCCUUUAGAGCAAUAUCUUGAGCAUGAAAAUGAUAUGCAUAUGGAGGAGAGAGAUGAGAUAGAUAGAAUUGUCUUAGAACAACAUCCUAUUCUCAAGAAUAAUCUGCCUGUUGAACUGCUUGGGGAUCCUCCCCCACCUAAGGGUGAUCCUGUGUUCGAGCUUAAAUAGUUGCCUGAUACUCUUAAGUAUGCCUAUCUUGAUGAGAAGGAUAUAUAUCCUGUCAUUAUCAGUGCCCUCCUCUCAGAGCUCGAAGAGAAGAAGUUACUAAAAACUCUGAGGAAGCACCGCGCUGCUAUUGGAUAUACUCUUGAUGAUCUUAAUUAAGGGUAUUAGUCCUACUCUAUGUCAGCACAAGAUUAAAACCGAUCCUGACUUUAAACCAGUUGCUGAUCAUCAAAGGAGAUUGAAUCCUAAGAUGAAAGAGGUCGUUAGAAAAGAAAUAUUAAAGCUUCUGGAAGCAGGAAUCAUUUAUCCUGUUGCUCAUAGUGAUUGGUAAGUCCAGUACAUUGCGUACCUAAGAAGGGAGGUAUCACCGUCGUUCCUAAUGAUAAGGAUGAACUAAUCCCACAAAGGAUUAUUACCGGCUAUAGAAUGGUGAUAGACUUCCGGAAACUGAACAAGGCAACCAGGAAAGAUCAUUAUCCUUUGUCGUUCAUCGACCAAAUGCUAGAAAGGCUAUCAAAACACACACACUUCUGCUUUCUAGACGGUUAUUCAGGUUUCUCGUAGAUACUUGUUGCACAAUCUGAUCAAGAGUAAACCACUUUCACCUGCCCUUUCGGUACCUUUGCCUAUAGACGUAUGCCUUUUGGCUUAUGCAAUGCACCCGCCACCUUCCAAAGAUGUAUGAUGGCUAUAUUCUCUGACUUCUGUGAAAAGAUUGUCGAGGUUUUCAUGGAUUACUUCUCCGUUUAUGGGUCUUCCUUUGAUGAUUGCCUCAGCAACCUUGAUGGAGUCUUACAGAGAUGCGAAGAAACCAACCUCGUCUUGAAUUGGGAGAAGUGCCACUUUAUGGUUAAUGAAGGUAUCGUCUUAGGACACAAAAUCUCUGAAAGAGGCAUUGAAGUUGAUAAGGCUAAGGUUGAUGCAAUUGAUAAAAUGCCUUGCCCCACAGAUAUCAGAGGUAUACGAAGUUUCCUAGGUCAUGCUGGUUUGUAUAGAAGGUUCAUUAAAGACUUAUCUAAGAUUUCUAGGCCUCUUACCAACCUCUUGCAGAAGGAUGUUCCUUUUGUUUUUGAUGAGGAUUGUGAGGAAGCCUUCGAAAUACUUAAGAAGGCUUUGAUAACCGCACCUAUUGUUCAACCACCUGACUGGAACUUGCCCUUUGAAAUCAUGUGUGUCGCUAGUGAUUACGCUGUUGGUGCUGUUCUAGGACAAAGAGUUGACAAGAAGUUGAAUGUCAUUCACUACGCUAGUAAAACUCUAGACAGUGCCCAAAGAAACUAUGUCACUAUGGAGAAGAAAUUUUUAGUAGUCGUGUUUGCAUGUGAAAAAACAGAUCUUACAUAGUUGACUCCAAAGUCACUAUUCACUCUGAUCAGUCUGCUAUUAAGUACCUUAUGCAGAAGAAGGAUGCUAAGCCUAGGCUGAUCAGAUGGGUUCUCCUGCUACAGGAAUUUGAUUUGCACGUCGUUGACCGAAAAGGUGCUGACAAUCCUAUAGCAGAUAACUUGUCUAGACUAGAGAAUGUCCGUGAUGACCCACUACCAAUUGAUGACAGCUUUCCUGAUGAGCAAUUAAAUGUCAUCCGCACUUCACUUAGUGCACCGUGGUAUGCCGAUUAUGCAAACUAUAUCGUAGCCAAAUACAUACCACCCAGUUUCACCUAUGAACAAAAGAGGAAAUUCUUCGUUGAUUUGAGACACUACUUCUGGGAUGAUCCUCACCUUUAUAAGGAAGGAGUAGAUGGUGUUAUUAGACGUUGUGUGCCUGAACAUGAACAGGGACAGAUCCUGCAGAAGUGUCAUUCCGAAGCCUACGGAGGACACCAUGCUGGAGAUAGAAUUGCCCAUAAGGUAUUGCAAUCAGGUUUCUAUUGGCCCACUCUCUUCAAGGAUGCCCGUAAGUUUGUCUUUUCUUGUGACGAAUGCCUAAGGAUAGGGAACAUCAGUAAGCGUCAAGAGAUGCCUAUGAACUAUUCACUUGUCAUUGAACCAUUUGAUGUCUGGGGCUUUGAUUAUAUGGGACCCUUCCCGAGUUCCGAUGGGUACACUCACAUCUUAGUUGCUGUGGAUUACGUUACUAAGUGGGUAGAAGCUAUCCCCACUAAAAAUGCUGAUCACCACACCUCUAUUAAGAUGCUUAAAGAAGUCAUAUUCCCAAGAUUUGGAGUCCCUAGAUACUUGAUGACUGAUUGCGAUUCACACUUCAUUCAUGGUGUUUUCCGCAAGAUGCUAGCUAAGUAUGAUGUCAACCAUAGAGUUGCAUCUCCUUAUCAUCCUCAGUCUAGUGGUCAAGUGGAGUUGAGUAAUAGGGAGAUCAAAUUGAUCCUACAAAAGACCGUCAAUAGAUCUCGAAAGAACUGGUCAAGCAAACUUGACGAUGCACUAUGGGCUUAUAGGACUGCUUAUAAGAAUUCCAUGGGCAUGUCACCGUAUAAAAUGGUUUACGGUAAAGUCUAUCAUUUACCUCUUGAGCUGGAACACAAAGCUUAUUGGGCAAUCAAAGAGCUCAACUUUGAUUUCAAACUUGCUGGUGAGAAGCGGUUGUUUGAUAUCAGCUCGUUGGAUGAAUGGAGAGCCCAGGCAUAUGAGAAUGCCAGGUUGUUCAAGGAAAAGGUUAAGAGAUGGCACGACAAACGAAUACAGAAACGAGAGUUCAAUGUAGGUGAUUAUGUCUUGCUAUACAAUUCUCGUUUGAGAUUCUUUGCACGCUAGCUUCUCUCUAAAUGGGAAGGUUCCUAUGUUGUCGAGGAAGUAUAUCGUUCCGGUGCCAUCAAAAUCAAUAACACGGAAGGAAAUUUUCCUAGAGUGGUAAAUGGGCAAAGAAUCAAGCAUUACAUCUCUGGUACUCCCAUAAAUGUUGAGACCAAUAUCAUCAAUGUCAUAACUCCAGAGGAGUACAUAAGGGAUGUUUAUCAGCCUGUUUCAGACCUUGAAAACGAAGAUGUAUCUGUUUCGGCAAGAAAUUGGACUCCGAUAUUUUGUACGCAAGUAUGCAUGAUUGAAUGAAUCAUGAUACGAUCAACGUAUUUUGGCAUUCACUUUCUACAUCUUGUUUUUGUUCUUUUUUUCUUGUUUCUAUCAUUGUGGCACUCGGAUGGAUGGCGACGCUUCUUUUUUGAGUUCAUCUUCCAGGCUUCGAUUCUCAUUAAGUCUGUCCGUCUGGACAUAGUCGACGGAGCUACUGCGUAGAAUCAUGUUGUCUUCUUCUCGUGACGAGGUUAUGGUUUCUCGUCAUAUGACGAGAUUUGGUGUCAUUGCUUCAGAUCAAUGAAAUGGUUCUAUAGCGACGACUACGGUCCCAGGGUUUGGUCCUUACGUGCAUCUGGAGGAAGAUAUCUCGGAUGUCAUCGUCAGUGUCAAGUUGGCUCCGGUAGGGGAGCGGUGACAGCGAUGCAUCGUCGACACGUUCUAUCAGUUAAGUGGUUAUUCGGUGGUUUCGGAAUCUCAUUCUAAUUUUUAUUAUGUUUGAGAUGCUUUGUAUUUUCGAUGAACGUUUAUAAAAGAUCUGAUACUUUGCUUAAAAAUGAAUGAAAAAUGAUCCUUCCCCAUCGACUCUACUUCCGCUGCGCUACGAGUCGGUAAUGAUCAGAUAAAACCCUGUAUGCAUCUCCUUAGUGGUCCUGGGCGUGCUCGUAGUACCGAAAUUUUUUGUUUUCUAUCGCGUUCCUCUACAGUGGAAUCAUGAGCUAAGCUAUGGGUAGAUGGAGGUUAUGAUCUAGAAUACAUGAGAUGUAUGGGUAUAGCAUAGUAUAAUUUUGUAGUAGAUGAGAUCUAUUGCUGAAAAUUAUAUGUGCGGGUAGUAGAUGAAAUCUAUUACCCAAUAUUCUUGUUGCUUCGCGUGAAUUUGUGUGGUCCUGAUCCUGACGGCAUGGUGGAAUCUUACAAAGUUUUGGCAAUCCGCGAUCCUUUCAUGCUGCUCUUGAGUAUGUUGAUUGAUAGAUCACCGAAGUGCUUCAGUGCUUUUGGGUUCCACCAUAGUUGAGAAAGAUGGAUGUUUCGCAGACGAAAGGGAAAUGCAGAUAUGAUCUGCACGGGGGUCAUGCAUAUGACGAAGUUUAGUAUGGGGCUUGAGCUUUUAUUAUCUCGUGUUUCAUACACCUUGGAAAGUUAAUCUAGCAACUUGAAUUAUUAUACCUGAUGAUGAACGUUGGUAGCUGCAGUUUAAGUCAAAAACAUAGAAGCCAUGUAAAAAUAAAAUUUUGCAUUAACCAAUUAGAGGCGUCUAACUUGAUUUUACAGAAUGUGCAUGAGAUGUGGUAUAACAAUUCUCAUAUUCAACUUGAUUACGUAUGAGAUGACUAUAUAAUGUAAAUUAACAUGACCUGUGUGUCAUGAUUCUGCAUGAUGGCUGGAGCCAUAUGAUUGUCACUUUAAUGACAUGUGUUUCGACAUUAAGUAAUGCAUUUAUUUUACCAGCUAUAGAGAUAGCAAUAUUAUUUGAUGCGUCGAAAAGGUGGUGGCAAUAUUAUCUGAUGUGUACAUAUAUUUGUGCUAACCCUUUUCAAGUAUCCACACAACAUUUUUUUAUAAAUUGUGUACUUUUUCUUGGGUUUUAACUCAUCCUAAGUUGUUGUUCCCAUGAUCUUCGUGGGAAACCGUCUACUAUGUAGCUUCUCAUCCUGAAAAAAGGACCAGUUUUUGUAAGGUUGUUGUGUUCUUGGUUCUUUCACAAAAGUAUUGACUAGAUACUCUGCCUCUUUCUCUGAUAUCGGGCUUUCAACUCUCUAGUUAGGGUCAAAGGCUUAGAAUGUUACUCAUUAUGUAAACGAAUAUAAGACAGUUUAGAUCACUAUUAGCAUCUAAAAUGUUAAUAGUGACUCCCUAUAUAAACCAACAAAAGAACCCUUACGUUCUUUAUAUCAAGAUGGCAUUAGCAAUAGAACACUUACGUUACAAUGGGGCAGAAAAAUACCGCACAUCCUUAAUCCAAUAACCAUGACUCAAGGCUGCAUUCGGUCCACGUGGAUACCGUUUGUGUUGCGGCUUAUCCUCAUUACAACCCUUGCCGACAGUGGCCUCAGUCCUCAAACAACCACAACACGUUUGAAUGUGAUCAAUCCUAACGUGUAUUGCUCUCUCUCGGCAUCAAAUGAGAAAUCUUCUUUAUUUUCCCCUUGCAAGGUUUUGUCGAGGCUUGCUUGCGAGGCUAUAGAUGAUUUGUUUUGUCUCCAAUGUGGUUUUGCUAAGGUGCGAUUUCUAUUCCGUUACUACACUGUUUUCAAAGAAAGACGAACCGUGAGCUAUUGAUUAAGAUGGCAACCUAAAUAAUAUUUUAAAAGUGUUUAACAGGUAAAACAAAAUCACAUUCAGAUUCUAUAAUUCUUCUAAUUAAUCUUCAUCUAUAACAUGUCAAAAUUGAAGUUCGGGUUUAAAAGAUAUGGAUGUUCUUAAAAGUAUUUUAAUCAGCCCAUGGAGUUUGGGUUUAUUGAACAAAAUAUCGUUCUGAAAAACAUAGAAGAUUUUCUGGAGUCACUCAAAACAGGACAGUGGGUCGUUUAACCGAAAGGUUAAGAAGUUUUCAGUUAAAAAAAUAAAUAUUUUUUAUAUUCACUUAAAACCAGGACCGUGCGUUGAUUUCAUGAAACAAUAGGGUUUUUUCUUUGCAAAAGGCGCGACGGAUGGGUAGAAACAUUUCUCCUUUUAUUAGUAGGUAAAGACUAGUGAUCAAGAAUGUAUUAUACUCCCUUCAUUUCUAAAUAUAAGUGUUUUUAGAGAUUUCACUAAAAACUAUAUACGGAUGUAUAUAGACACAAUUUAGAUUGUAGAUUCAUUCAUUUUGCUUAAUAAUGGAGGAAGUAUUAGUUUACAGAUGUAGUGUCUUUAUGUGGCUAGCGAAAUACCAACAAUAUCUACAUGAUUAAAUGGAUGUGCCUAUAUGUGCAAUUCAGAGAGCUUGAGAGAGCAAGUUUUGGAUGAAUCCACCUUACUAUAUCCUAGUACAUCCAUCACACGUACAGCUAGCUAGGGAACCCUGACGCAAUGACGUGCAUAUAUAGAUAUGAGGCAACCCUGCCGACAUGGAAAACUAUAUGUCCAUGUGAACACUUGACUGGUCAUACUACACUACAAGAAAAUAGAAUAACCACACACGCAAUGUAUAUCAGAAUACCAGCACCGCGUAGACUUCACUAAUUGCAUGACAGGUCGAUCGACUUGCAUGUCCCAUGGAAAUGACUGGCCUAGGAUCACAGCAGUGGGGUGUCAGUUCGUAAAAUUUAACUUAAGUACCAUCUUAGUUUUAACAAAUAGUCCUAAAAUGGCACAAAGUUGUCAGAGAAUUAUAGCGAAUAUAGUAUAAAGUAGUUUGCAUUUUUUAGAGGAGUGCCACAGCCAUGGCAGUAUGGCACCUCAAGAUCUGCAGCUGUUUCGUGUAUUGGAGCUAAAUAAUGAGUGCAACAUUUCGGUGUCCUCUGCAUCCGGUUAGGAAAAAAAUCAUAAAAAACUUCAAAAAAUGCCAAUAAAAUCAAAAAAAAUCUCAUGGUAGAAAAGUUUUUGCGUGAGGUCCGCUCCAAUUUUUAGAUUAUUUGAACAUCUGAUAAGCUCUCAGCAAAAAAGAUAAAUUGGAUCAGAACAGUGUAUGAACCAUAACUUUUUUAUGAACCCUGAAUUUGUCUUUUUUUCUGAGAGAUGCUGAGAUGUUUAAAUGAUUUAAAAACUGAAGGGGCCUUUACCAUCAAAUUAUCUACAACGUAAAAAAAUCUAGUAUUUGUUUUGAUUUUAUUUUCUUCGGCGCGGGGUGCAGAUGAGCCUGGGCUCGGAAGUGGAUUAUCGCUAAAUAAUAUGUUGUUUUGUCAAAAGAAAGAUAGGACCCCCAGCCUCUGCAACCUCUGCAUUAUGAUGAUGCACACAACCAUAUUUAUUAAAGUUGAUGUAAGGGGCAGAGAACAAAAUUAUCAAUAAGUGUAGUACAUAACUAUUACAAGAUGUGAAUUUAACACUUAGGACUAAAUCGACUUCUUUCGCAAGACUUCAGUAAGGAAAAGACGCCCUCACAUCAUCGUCAUCACAUUCGACCGGAGACGUCUAGGACACGAAUUUCCAUCCUAGUAGCCCAACCAAGGCCGGGCGGGUCGCUGUUGGAUAUGAAUCCUGCAACUACCCUUGUUGGGCCAGUGGCUCCAGUCGAAGGCGCGAGAUGGCACAACUGCCCCGUCUACUUUAACGGGACCAUGAAGGCGCCUCAAAGCGCCAGCAUCACUCGCCAUGAGGAGCUCUCGAAGAUGGACUUGAGAGAAGGGGAGCGCUUACACGAUUUUGCUCAAGGAGAGGGGGAGCGCUUACACGAUUUUGCUCAAGGAGAGGGUGCAUCGUAAAAUCGCACGGUCUCCUAGAUUAGGGGGUAUUAACCUGGUCGGUCCACGCUCCUCGAAUUGGGCCGAUGGGCCAUCAUCCUACUCGAGGUGGACUCCGGAAGCUGCACAUUGGGUGUUAUCAAGGUUACAUCUGCCGAAGGCUUGACAUAUACUUCAAGACUCCUCCUCCCGCCUCUAUGUUAGGAUACCGACCUUGUAGCCCUAGAUAUCCUACGUAGGGUUUUACCUUCAUCAAGAGGGCUCGAACCUGGAUAAACAUCGUCUCCCUGUUCCUGUUAUCAUUUGUCCAACAUCAACAGCUUGGGGCCUCCUACCCCGAGGUCUACCGGUUUUCACACCCACUGUGUUCUCUCAAGAAAAAAAUGCUAUAUUUUUUUAACCGGUCUAACCCCCUUUCCAUUACUUGAAUAACGAAAUACAUCAGAUCCUAGAGUUCAACAGGAGGAGGGAAAGGAGAUAGAGCGAGUUCAACCAUUGCUAGGAAACCCACUGUGACCGCUCGUCAUCGAAUCGAUCACUGCGAGACGAAAACCUAGCUACAAUAUCCUAGCGGGAGAAGUAUCAUUCCUAUUACAACCUAGGAAUAAUAGGUACAAAAGAGAUAAUAGACUAAACAGUUUUUAAGUAUGUCAGAACACCACAAAAAGACUGCCAGCAGCCACCCUUGCAAAAGUGCAUCGUCCCCAUACCUCCGCUGUUCAUCCACGGCCAGCAUUGCACAGCCUCAUCAGUGACACAGUCCCCGCCCGAACAACUUCAGUUCCGGUUCGCAUCCUCUUCAUGUCGCCUGCUGGCUGCAAACCUGCCCAAUAAAGAAGGAAAGAGCAAUCAGUAAACACAAUCUCAAAUGAAGAUUUGAUCGGUUUUUUCUCCAAGGUAGGUGGAUUCCGAGCUAACCAAAUAGCCCAGGUAAUUGCAGCCAAGCCCACCGUAUAGAAUUUAUCAUCUCCAGGCAUGAAACAAUGGGACCAGGCAAAGUAUUGUCAGUGGUUGUUGGGUCCAAAAUAUGUCCCCAAACAAACCCCAGCCGAACGCCAUAACGCCAUAACUCUACAAAAAAGUGAUAUAAUGUGUAACUAUUUUGUUCAAGUCGAGCAGAUGGACUCUAUCUUGCACCAUAGCGUUUAAGCAGUAUUGAAAUUAGGUCCGCCUAUACAUCAAGUAUCUUGGGAAAAAAAACUGCAUCGAUCAAUUUUCCCAGCAGUUGGAUGGCACGAUCGUGGCACCACCUAUUAUCGUUUUCGCCCCUCACAUCGUACCUCCGUUCGGCCUCGCACAAAACAAAUUGUGUCUGACGCAAAGAAAAAAUGUAGGUACCUGAUGUUUAUCUAAACAAAUUGUGUGUUGGAUUAACUACUUAUUAUACAACAAGCUGAAGGUAUGUGUCCAGCCGUGCCAACGAGCCCGUACGGAAGAUAUAAUAGACACAUGAAAUCAAAGACAUACAGCUCGGAUAUGCGUCUCCCGUGAACGUGAUGAUCAGGGUAAGCCAGCUCCUAGAGCUGCCNNNNNNNNNNACAGAUGGACUCUAUCUUGCACCACAGCGUUUAAGCAGUAUUGAAAUUAGGUCGAGCAUAUGGUUUUCGCCCCUCACAUCGUACCUUCGUUCGGCCUCGCACAAAACAAAUUGUGACUGACGCAAAAAAAAAAUUCAGGUACCUGAUGUUUAUCAAAUGUGUGGAAUUCUUCGUCGGCACAACCAAUGGCGUCCUGGAUUAACUAAUUAUUAUACAACAAGCUGAAGGUAUGUGUCCAGCCGUGCCAACGAGCCCGUACGGAAGAUAUAAUGGACACAUGAAAUCAAAAAACCAUACAGCUCGUAUAUGUGUCUCCCGUGAACGUGAUGAUCAGGGUAAGCCAGCUCCGAGAGCUGCCAUGCCAGAUAUAUAUAUUCCUUUGUCCGAUGCGAUGCUCUAGAUUAUUUUGGCUCCACACUCGUAAAUCCAUCAAAUAUUUAUGUGCACUCUGCAGCAGACAACAUGCACAUAGGAGUACUCUUCUUGAAAANNNNNNNNNNUUUGAGAGCUCCCGUGAACCUUUGUCCGAUGUGAUGCUCUAAAUUAUUUUGGCUCCACACUCGUAAACCCAUCAAAUAUUUAUUUGCACUCUGCAGCAGACAACAUGCACAUAGGAGUACUCUUCUUGAAAACUAAAGGAAAGUCUCGUGGCACAGCUCUCAGGUUUUUGUUCAUUAGCGAACACAUUAAGCUCUAAUGAUGGAUGUCACACGUAACAUGCCAGUACAAUAAUGGUUGCACAUGAGUUUUGGAAAUUACCACGGCAACAGGCAAACUAACUACGUCGAUUGAUAAUGACAUGAACGAGGCACUUGCACNNNNNNNNNNCAAUGAUGGAUGUCACACACGUAACAUGCCAGUACAAUAAUGGUUGCACAUGAGUUUUGGAAAGUACCACGGCAACACGCAAACUAACUACGUCGAUUGAUAAUGACAUGAACGAGGCACUUGCACNNNNNNNNNNCUCGAUUGAUGAUGACAUGAAGGCACUUGCACACCACACCCGGUCUAUAAGUACCACCCCCAAACAACCCAAGAAAACCAUCCCAAGCUAGCAUACCCUACAAGCUUAAUUAGCCACAUACCAGCACAAACGAUCAGUAGCAAUNNNNNNNNNNUCUGUCCCAACAGCACUUGCACACCCCACCCGGUCUAUAAGUACCACCCCAAACAACCCAAGAAAACCAUCCCAAGCUAGCAUAGCCUACAAGCUUAAUUAGCCACAUACCAAAGGGCCUCCUGCCUGGGCUCACCGCACCGGCCACGUGGAGGCCCAUCUGUCCCGGUUUAUGCAAGAACCGAGACUAAAGGUUUAGGGCAUUAGUACCGACACUUUAGUCCCGGUUCAAAAAACGGGACAAAUGGCCCUCACGAACCGGGACAAUAGGUCCUUUUUCUACUAAUGGGAUAAGCUCUUUUGCAUUGUAGCUCGCUGGACGGUGUGGUUUAACUUUAGGUUUGUCCUUGUGAUGUUCGUGCUAUGCAUCAAGUGAUAGCUNNNNNNNNNNNNNNNNNNNNNNNNNNNNNNNNNNNNNNNNNNNNNNNNCUGGACACAUGGAAUCAAAACCGUACGAGACUCCUAUAUGUGUCUCCCGUGAACGUGAUGAUCAGGGUAAGCCAGCUCCUAGAGCUGCCAUGCCAGAUAUAUGUAUAUAUUCCUUUGUCCGAUCCGGUGCUCCAGAUUAUUAUGGCCACACUUGUAAGCCCAUCAAAUAUUUAUGUACACACAGCAGACAACAUGCAUAUAGGAGUANNNNNNNNNNAUGGACACAUGGAAUCAAAAUCGUACGACUCCUAUUUGUGUCUCCGUGAACGUGAUGAUCAGGGUAAGCCAGCUCCUAGAGCUGCCAUGCCAGAUAUAUCUAUUCCUUUGUCCGAUCCUGUGCUCCAGAUUAUUAUGGCCACACUUGUAAGCCAUCAAAUAUUUAUGUACACACAGCAGACAACAUGCAUAUAGGAGUACUCUUCUUGGAAACAAAAGGAAACUCUCAUGGCACAGCUCUCAAGUUUUUGUUCAUUAGCGAACAGAUUAAGCUCCAAUGAUGGAUGUCACACCCGUAACAUGCGAGUACAAUAAUGGUUGCACAUGAGUUUUGGAAAUUACCACGGCAAGAUUGAAACUAAUUACGUCGAUUGAUAAUGACAUGAACGAGGCAUUUGUUGGAAAUAAGUCGUGACGGAGCACGGUGCGACCGGCGUCGAUGCGUCGGGUCGGGUCCGUGACGGUGCGACCGACGUUGGUGCGUCGGGUCGGGUUCCGCAGGCUGGGUUACGACAACAUUGUGUGCAUGUACGUGUGGCGUGUGUGUAGUGCAGCGCAAAGCGUGCGUGGUCGCCAAGGCAGCUCGAGCUGGCCGUUAGCACGUUGUGCGCCUCGUGCGUGCUGGCCGGGCGGAUCGCUAGCUCUAGGUGCGUGCGUGCGUAGGAGACGUGGACGCUGCGUACCUGUAGGACUACAAAGCCGCGGACGCGAACAUGUAUUCAUCAGGGAAAGGAAGCAAAGUGGCUGUGUGUGCGGCCAGGCGUUAGUCGCCGGAAAAACUCCAGUGUGCAUUCUCCUUUCUUCUACCUCUGUCCAGUUGUGUGUGAGAGANNNNNNNNNNUCGAGUUCGUCGCUUGCCGCGCCGGGCAGGAGAACGAGAGGAAGAAGAAGAGAAAUGGAUGAUUUGGUUCGAAAUUUUCUAACUCCCGCUUAUACAGGUGGAUCUACAGUCCCGAUUCGUGGCUCGAUCCGGGACUAAAGAUCCUUUAGUCCCGGAUGGAGCCACGAACUGGGACUAAAGGCCCUUUUUCGGCUGACCAGAAGGCGGGAAGCAGGGGCCUUUAGUCCCGGGGCGUGGCUCGAACCGGGACUAAAGACCACUUUAGUCCCGGGUGGAGCCACGACCCGGGACUAAAGCCCCUUUUUCGGCUGACCAGAAGGCGGGAAGCAGGGGCCUUUAGUCCCGGGGCGUGGAAAGAACCGGGACUAAAGUUUUGCCUAUAUAAACCCUCGCCCCUGCCCACCAUAUCCCCUGUUUUUUGGUUGUUGAAGUGUGACCAUGCCAUGCUCUUGCCACUCUAGUUCAUGCACAUGACGUGUUCGAUGAAAUGCUCGAGCCACUCUACUUAAGCUUUCUCCUCUCCAAGCUCGACCUCCAAGCUCCAUUUUCCUUAAUAUUUGUCUAGGUUUGGCCGUGCACCAACUGCGAGCACCACCGUGGUGAGCCUCUUGUUCUUAUCUUCUUUUUAAAAUUAAAAAAAUCUUACUUGUAUGAAUUAUAUACAUACUUGUAUAAAUUACUCACUUUCAUUAUUUUUUGUUAUGAUAUAGUGCGAUGGUUUUGGUAUCCGCCUCCGUCGGCCCUCGUCCUGUCUAUGAUUCGGAUGUGGUAUAUAUUAUAUUUUAUAACUAUUUGUUUUAUUUAGUGUUUAUGACAAUUAUGACAUAUAUUUUUUAAUCUAGGAGGUAUGUGAACCGGAAAUUCCAACCCACAUAAAAAUUCUUGUCGAGAAGUUCAAUUUGGUUGAAAAAGAAAACAAAUACUUGAAGAAAAAAUUGAAAAUAAUUGAGGAUAAGAAUAUGGAACUGGAGUUGCAUGUCGCCGAUGUCAUCGAUGAUUGCAAGAUGAAGAUCGAUGCGAUGCGGUUGAAGAUGGAUGCAAUGCGCUUGAAGAUGGAUGAAAUGCGCUUGAAGAUUAGGAAUAUUAGAAAAUAUGCCAUUGAUAAGGAGGUUGGUAUCAUUAUGUUGUUGGGUCAAUUGUUACCUUAGUGCGAUUUUGAUCGCGUUUGUUGUUGCAUUUAAAUGUUUUACAUAGUUGUAUGUUGUUUCAUGAGAGAACUUUAUGUAUUUAUUUUUUGCAAUAAUAACAUUUGGUCACUACUGUUCUUUGGCUUUAAUGUGAUGAUGAACUUGUAUUAAUUUGGUCAUAUGUUUUGCAAUGGUUUUUUAAUAUAUUUGAUUUCAUAAUAGAGAUGAAUCGCCAAUGAUAAUAUUUAAUUUCAUAAUAUGGUUUUUUGAACUCCAUAAAAAGUUGAGAGGGCUACGACAAAAACUAGAUGCACUUCGUGUACAAAACGGACAAUCUCUCUCGAAGUAUCAGGGUUUCGAACGAGAACUUGUCUCUUACAAAGGGAUUUCAUUUUUGUGAACUUAUUUGAACUCCAUACUUUUUGGUGUGUUCAAAAUGCACCAUUCAAAGGCACAACACAAAAUUUCAACAAUUUCUGACUUCAUUUGGUAUAUUUCGUGGAUUUACUUAUUUGUUUUGAGCUAGUUGACCCUGAAAUUGAAAAGCACUACAAAUGAACUCUGAAAAUGUUGAAAGUUGGCAUGCUAUCAUCAUUUCACCCACAUAGCAUGUGCUAAAAAGUUGAGAGGGCUACGACAAAAACUGGAUGCACUUCGUGUACAAAACGGACAAUCUCUCUCGAAGUAUCAGGGUGUCGAACGAGAACUCAUCUCUUACAUGGAUAAUAUGAAAAUGAAAAGUGUUUGAAAUUUAGUACGUUCCAUACAUGCAUUACAUAAAAGGUUUAAUANNNNNNNNNNUUGGAUGCACUUCGUGUACAAAACGGACAAUCUCUCUCGAAGUAUGAGGGUUUCGAACGAGAACUCAUCUCUUACAUGGAUAAUAUGAAAAUGAAAAGUUUUUGAAAUUUAGUACGUUCCAUACAUGCAUUACAUAAAAGGUUUAAUACAUUAUUACAUUAUUGCACCAAUAUUCCUAUCUAUUAUUUCUGUUUUAUUCUGGGUCAUAGCCAUGGAGAAUCUUCAUCAUUCAUUAGGAUGCUUGGGUCAUUUUUCACUUUGAAGGGCGGAAUUUCAUGAAACUUAUUAUAAUCUUCUGNNNNNNNNNNCUUUUCUUCUGGGUCGUAGCCAUGGAGAAUCUUCAUCAUUCAGUAGGAUGCUUGGGUCAGUUUUCACUUUGAAGGGCGGAAUUUCAUGAAACUUAUUAUAAUCUUCUGACAUGUCUGUCUUGUCAUCUACUCCCACGAUGUUUCUUUUCCCUGAAAGAACCAUGUGGCGUUUUGGCUCAUCGGAUGAUAUCUUCUUUUGCUGAUUUCUUUUUCUCGUUAAUGUAGACAUGUCCUUCACAUAGAAAACCUGAGCGACAUCAUUGGCUAGGACAAAUGGUUCGUCCAUGUACGCAAGAUUGUUAAGAUCCACUGUUGUCAUGCCGUACUUUUGGUCUACAACUAACCCGCCUCCUCUCAGUUUCACCCAUUUGCACCGAAAUAAAGGAAUCAUAAAAGUAGGUCCAUAGUCAAGUUCCCAUAUCUCCUCUAUGUACCCGUAAUAUGUUUCCAAACAGUGCCCAUUCUCGUCUGUUGCAUCAAAGCAUACACCACUAUUUUGGUUGGUGCUCUUUUUAUCUUGGGCAACCGUGUAAAAUGUAUUCCCAUUUAUCUCAUACCCUUGCAAAGUACAUAUAGUCGAAGAUGGUGGCCUGGCCAAACAGUACAGCUCAUCUCCAACGGUGUCGUCAUUCAGGAGAUGUGUCUGCAACCAACUNNNNNNNNNNGAAAGUACAUAUAGUCGAAGAUGGUGGCCUGGCCAAACAAACAACUCAUCUCCAACGGUGUCGUCAUUCAGGAGAUGUGUCUGCAACCAACUGCCGAAAGUCUUCUCGUGUUCCCCUUUAAUCCAAGAGUCAGCCUUCCCCGGGUUUUCGGAGCGUAGAAUAUUCUUGUGUCUCACGAUAUACGGAGCCACCAUGGUGGAAUUGUGUAGAACUGUGUAGUGUGCUUGAGAGAAAGAAUGCUCGUCCAUACAUACUUUUGCUUUCCUUCCUAGUGUGCCUUUUCCUGUCAGCCUACCCUCAUACCGAGAUUCAGGAACACCAAUCGGCUUAAGGUCAGGAAGAAAGUCCACACAAAACUCAAUGACCUCCUCUGUUCCAUAGCCCUUGGAGAUGCUUCCUUCUGGCCUAGCACGGUUACGAACAUAUUUCUUUAAGACUUCCAUGGACCUCUCGAAGGGGAACAUAUUGUGUAGAAACACAGGACCGAGAAUUCUAAUCUCUUCGACUAGGUGAACUAGGAGGUGUGUCAUUAUAUUGAAGAAGGAUGGCGGGAACAACAACUCAAAGCUGACCAGACAUUGGACCACAUCAAUCUGUAACCCUGAUAGACUUUCUCGAUCGAUUACCUUCUGAGAAAUUGCAUUGAGGAAUGCACAUACCUUCACAAUUGCCAGGCGAACAUUUUCCGGUAGAAUUCCCCUCAAUGCAACCGGAAGCAAUUGCGUCAUAAGCAUGUGGCAGUCAUGAGACUUUAGGUCUUGGAAUUUUUUGUCUUUCAUAUUUAUGAUUCCCUUUAUAUUCGACGAGAAGUCAGUCAGGACCUUGAUACUGAAAAGGACUUCAAAGAAGAUUUCCUUCUCUUCCUUAGUAAGAGCGUAGCUGGCACGCCCUUGAAACUGCCCUGGAUGCAUGCCAUCUCUUCCUUUAUGACGUUCCUGGUCCUCCCGUGCUUCCGGUGUAUCUUUUGACUUCCCAUACAAGCCCAGGAAGCCUUGAAUAUUCACGCAGAGAUUCUUCGUCAGGUGCAUCACGUCGAUUGCCGAGCGGACCUCAUGGACUUCCCAGUAGGGUAGCUCCCAAAAUAUAGAUUUCUUCUUCCACAUGGGUACGCGCUUAUCAGGGCCGUUAGGAACAGGUUGGCUGCCAGGACCCUUUCCAAAGAUUACUUUUAAAUCUUUGACCAUAUCAAAUACUUCAGCACCAGUACGGAUGACAGGCUUCCCCCGGGGUUCUGCCUUGCCAUUGAAAUGNNNNNNNNNNAGACCCUUUCCAAAGGUUACUUUUAAAUCUUUGACCAUAUCAAAUACUUCAGCACGAGUACGGAUGACAGGCUUCCCCCGGGGUUCUGCCUUGCCAUUGAAAUGCUUGACUUUUUUCUUUAAGGGAUGCUUGGGCGGAAGAAAACAACGAUUGUACGGAUACACAUUCUUCCUACAGUUGUCGAGAUAUAUACUUUCUGUCUGAUCCAAACAGUGCGUGCAUGCAUUGUAUCCCUUGUUUAACUGUCCUGAAAUGUUACUAAGAGCAGGCCAAUCAUUGAUGGUUACGAAAAGCAACUCUCGAAGGUCAAAUUCCUCUUGUUUGUGCUCGUCCCACACACGUACACCUGGUUCGGCCCACAGCUGUAAAAGUUGAUCAACUAAUGGCCUUAGGUACACAUCAAUAUCGUUGCCGGGUUGCUUUAGACCUUGUAUAAGCACUGGCAUCAUAAUAAACUUCCGCUUCAUGCACAACCAAGGAGGAAGGUUGUAGAUACAUAGAGUAAUGGACCAGGUGUUGUGACUGCAACUCUGCUCCCCAAAAGGAUUCAUGCCAUCUGUACUCAGACCUAACCAUAAGUUCCUUGCGUCUGCUGCAAAUCUCGGGAACUCUCUCUUGAUUUUUCUCCACUGCCGACCAUCAGCGGUGUGCCUCAACUUAUCGUCUUUCAUACAAUCUUCCAUGUGCCAUCGCAACAACUUCGCAUGAUCUUUAUUUCUGAACAGACGUUUCAACCGUGGUAUUAUAGGAGCAUACCACAUCCCCUGGCAGGAACCGUCUUCCUGGGUGGCUCGCCCUCAAUAUCACCAGGGUCAUCUUUUCUGAUCUUAUACCGCAAUGCAGUCUAUACCGGGCAUUUAUCCAUAUUCUCGUACUUCUCACCUCGGUAGAGGAUGCAUUCAUUAGGGCAUGCAUGUAUCUUCUGCACGUCUAAUCCUAGAGGGCAGACAAGCUUCUUUGCUUCGUACGUGCUGGCGGGCAAUUCGUUCUUUCUUGGAAGCAUCUUCUUCAUCAGUACCAGCAACUUUUCGAAUGACGAGUCAGUCACACCGGUCUCUGUCUUCCACUUCAGCAAUUCCAGUGUGCUACCCAGCUUCUUCUGGCCAUCUUCACAAGUUGGGUACAACAAUUUGUUGUGGUCCUGUAACAUCUGCUCGAACUGCAACCUCUCCUUUUCUAUGUCGCAACCUCGCCGUGCAUCAGAAAUGACCCGGCCAAGAUCAUCAGCGGGCUCAUCUGGUUCCCGUUCUUCAUCCUGAUCUUCUUCUUCAUUGUCUUGCAUUGCGGUAUCAGCAUACUCAGGGAACAUAGAUCGGUAGUUGUCAUCAUCGUUCUCUUCUUCUUCAUCGUCGCCUUCCAUCAUAACCCCUCUUUCUCCGUGCUUGGUCCAAACAUUAUAGCCCGACAUAAAACCGGACCGAAGCAGGUGGCUCUGAAUGACUCUUGAGGAAGUGUAAUCCUUCCAAUUCGACAUUCAACACAUGGACAAAACAUAUAGCCACCACCAUGCUUGUUCGCAUUGGCUGCAUCUCGAAAAGAAUGCACGCCUUCUCUGUAAGCGGCUGUGCGUCGAUCACCGUACAUCCAUGGAUGGCUCAUCUCUGCGUUAUACGACAGUAUAUCAAAUACAAUCACGAUCCUAAAAAUUAGUACCGCACGAUCUAAACGAGGAAAUAUAGUUGCUAACCUUUUAGAAUAAGUAGAAAUAAAGAGGAAGAGGUUUAAGCGUGGCUUGGGCAUCUCAUAUCGUAGUUGUAUUCGGUGAACUGAAGCGGCAUCGCUCUAACACACAUUUCAACAAACACCUCUAGUGCAUAAAAAAAAGUGGAGAGCAAGCACCCACCCACAAUCCUCCAUCCAAUAAAAAUGCAACGAAGAGGGGAGAGGGGGGCUGUGCUAUAUAUAGGCAGAGGACUUUAGUCCCGGUUUGAGACACAAACCGGGACUAAAGGUGGCGCACAUGCGGGCUGCCCACCGCGUAGCCCUUUACUCCCGGCUUGGGACACGAACCGGGACUAAAGGCUCCUUACGGGCCGGGACUAAAGCCUCGAGGGAGGAUAUGAGAAUUGGGGCGACGUAGCCGGGCCUUUAGUUCCGGCCCAGAGGCAGGCCGGGACUAAAGGGUACAGGCCAAAGGCCCGGUUUCUACUAGUGUAUGUGUCCAGCCCUGCCAACGAGCCAGUAUAAUACACCAGAGUACGAAAGAUAUAAUAUACACAUGAAAUCAAAACCAUACAGCUCUUAUAUGUGUCUCCCGUGACCGUGAUGAUCAGGGUAUGCCAGCCCCUAGAGCUUCCAUGCCAGAUAUAUUCCUUUGUCCGAUGCUAUGCUCCAGAUUAUUAUGGCCACACUUGUAAACCAAUCAAAUAUUUAUAUGCAAACAGCAGACAACAUGCAUAUAGGAGUAUCUUCUUGGAAACUAAAGGAAACUCUCAUGGCACAGCUCCCAGGAUUUUGUUCAUUAGUGAAGAGCAGAUUAAGCUCCAAUGAUGAAUGUCACACACGUAACAUGCCAGUACAAUAAUGGUUGCACAUGAGUUUUGGAAACUACCACGGCAAGAAUGAAACUAAUUACCUCGAUUGAUAAUGACAUGAACGAGGCACUUGCACACCACACCCGGUCUAUAAGUACCACCCCCAAACAACCCAAGAAAACCAUCCCAAGCUACCAUAGCCUACAAGCUUAAUUAGCCAUAUACCAGCACGAUCCAUCAGUAGCAAUGGCGCCUUCCAAGCUCGCCUUCUUCCUCGCUCUGAACCUGGUCCUCCUUGCCGCCGUGCAGGGCUGCGGUCCCUACUGCCCACCGGUCNNNNNNNNNNGGCGCCCUCCAAGCUCGCCCUCUUCCUCGCCCUGAACCUGGUCCUCCUUGCCGCUGUGCAGGGCUGCGGCCCCUACUGCCCACCGGUCGUCCCCACCCCGCCGAUCCUCCCACCACCCGUGCCGUCGACCGACGGAGGCAGCUGCUCGAUCAACACGCUGAAGCUGGGCGUGUGCACCAACGUGCUGAACCUGCUGAAGCUUAAGAUUGGCGUGCCGGCGAACGAACAGUGCUGCCCACUCCUGGGCGGGCUCGCCNNNNNNNNNNGCUGCUCGAUCAACACGUUGAAGCUGGGCGUGUGCGCCAACGUGCUGAACCUGCUGAAGCUCAAGAUCGGCGUGCCGGCGAACGAGCAGUGCUGCCCACUCCUGGGCGGGCUCGCCGACCUCGACGCCGCGGUGUGCCUCUGCACCGCCAUCAGGGCCAACAUCCUCGGCAUCAAGCUCAACGUCCCCAUCGACCUGACCCUCCUCCUCAACCAGUGCGGCAAGAAGUGCCCAACCAACUUCACCUGCCCCAUCUGAUGCAUCCAUCCAUUGCAUGGGCUCCCUCGCUCGUGCAUGCAUGCUUGAUAAGCUCGUGAUUGAUCAUCAGGGUCAUUGUAUCCCGUUAUGGUAUCUAAAUGCACGAUUUGCAUAUUUGUAAAAGGAUAUACAUACUUGUACACGCACCUUGGAAUAUAAAAUUUGUUCAAGUUGGGGUUUUCUCUCUUCCCUCUCGGCUGGAACCCUAGCCCUCCUCGUCAAGAGAAAAGAUCAUCCUAGUGUAUGUAGCUUAGUAAAUAUACCCUAGCCCUCCUCGGCACAAAAAAUCUUAUGUAACUUAGGAACAAGGCAGGAUCUAAGAAUCAUUUUUNNNNNNNNNNCAACACGUUGAAACUGGGCGUGUGCGCCAACGUGCUGAACCUGCUGAAGCUCACUCCUGGGCGGGCUCACCGACCUCGACGCUGCCGUGUGCCUCUGCACCGCCAUCAGGGCCAACAUCCUCGGCAUCAAGCUCAAUGUCCCCAUCGACCUCACCCUCCUACUCAACCAGUGCGGCAAGAAGUGCCCCGCCAACUUCACCUGCCCCAUCUGAUCCAUCUAUCCAUGGAUUUACUCGUAGCUAUAUAUUGCAUGUCAUACGCGCGCACCAUAUGUCAGGACUUUGCAUGGGCUCCCUCGCUCGUGCAUGCAUGCUUGAUAAGCUCGUGAUNNNNNNNNNNNNNNNNNNNNNNNNNNNNNNNNNNNNNNNNNNNNNNNNNNNNNNNNNNNNNNNNNNNNNNNNNNNNNNNNNNNNNNNNNNNNNNNNNNNNNNNNNNNNNNNNNNNNNNNNNNNNNNNNNNNNNNNNNNNNNNNNNNNNNNNNNNNNNNNNNCUACUUGUACACGUACCUUGGAAUAUAAAGUUUGUUCAAGUUGGGUUAACUCGACUCGUGAUAUGCCAGCUUGAGUUGUAUAUUCAUGCAUGAUUGCAUCAAUCAUGAUCAGAUCCACAUCUUUCCACAUGCAUUAGCUACAUCUUCUUUCUUUCUUUUUUGCCUAGAUGAUCGUUGCUAAAACUAAAUAUCAUGCUGAAGAUUUUCUUCUCUCCAAUGCCACCUUUUUACAUCUUGACGUUCUAGCUGAUCCAUAAAAAAUUCAAGGAUGCAUGCAUCGUACUCCUAUAUGGUAGAUGUCAUCUACCUUUGCGGCUUUUUUUAUGCAAUUGCACAUGCUCAUAGCUCACAUACACGUACAUACACUCACCUAUAUAAACUUAUGCACGCAUCCUAUAUCUACGAGCGCCUCCGAGAUAUUGAGUCACCACAACAUUUGAGAUUGACAAAGUCGUCAGAAACGUUUCAUGAUAGAUGGAAAUAUCUUCUUUCACUGAUCGAACAUCGCCAUGUGACAUUUGUGGUAAGCAGUUCAAACUUAUUAAGGAAAGAAUUGAAUAAAUCUAGAAAAUUUUGAGCAUUGGUGUCAAGUCUAACUGGUGGGCUGAUUCCACCGCAAGUAACCUAACUAUUUAUGCUAUGCUCAAUUCGCUACUUAAGUUAGCAUAAUAUAUUCUAUAGUGAAUAUGUACAAGUCAUCCAUUGUUGUAUCUUGUUGUGGCAUCUAACAGACUCACAUGUUCAUAGAAGGACACAAAGAAUAAUAAAAAGAGUGAAUUCUGGUUUUUACCCCCUAUUUUAACAUUUUUGACACUAGUUACCCGAU
rnacentral:lncRNA from 1 species